AAAACAAAACUACCAAAUUGCGAGCUUUUCUUCUCUCAUUUCAACUCUCUUCCCACUCUCAUGGCAGCUUCUAUCCUUAUCCCCUCUCCCUCUUUCAACACUUACAGGUACCCUCUCUGUUUGCUUGUCUUUGUACUCUGCACAUAUAUGUACGUAUGUAUCUGCAAAAAGUUUUCGAAUUCACUUUUGGGUGUUUUUAUCUGGGUUUUGUAAUGUCACGAACUGUCUCGUGGGUCCUCUUUAUUCAAUCUUUGCAUAGUCGGGGGGGGGGGGGGGAAGUGAGUUACUUUUUAUCCUUCUUAAUAUUCUCACCUUUCAAACUAUUUCAGGACAAGUCAAGUGUCUCUGAACUUGCAUUCACAACACUGGCAUCAAAGCAUCAGCCGCUUCUCAGUAUCUCUUAAAACCCACAAAUCAAGUCUCAAGCUUUACAUGAUACCUGCUAUUCCGAUUGUCGCCCGCCAGUUUCUGUUGAAACCUUUUGCUGCAGUUGACUCAUUAGAAGCACAUGUCUCACCGGACCAAAAUUGUGCUGCUUCGGGUGUUUCAUCUCAAAAUGGUUUCGACAGGUGGGAACUUAUCUUGCUUACCCAUAAUUUUGCCCUUAUUUUGAUGUUACUGUUUCUUAAUUUACCUUUCCUGGACACCGGAAUUCUUUUGCUUCUGACUCGUGGGCUUUGCCUGAAGUGAUGUAACGUCGGAUGACACCUUUGGUUUCAAAUCUGACCAUGAAAUGAUCUUGACAUUGUUCUGAGUUCAUCAUUAGCAAUUCAUUAUAUCCUUCUCUAGCAAAGCUGAGUCUACAAAAAUUAAGUAGCUGAAAAACAUUUGUCUGUUAUUAGCAGGUCUAAAACAUUGCUCGACAAAGCAAGUAACUCCUUGGAUGGCAUGAGUGACUUUGAGAGACAGCUGCAAGAGCUAUUUAAUGAGGUCAAAACAUUAAUUAUGACUGGGAACAGGAGUGAUGCUCUAGACCUACUUCAAGCAAAUUAUGAAGCUGUAAAAGAACAGAUAAAUGCAGGUGCUAAAGGCAUAGAAGAAGCUGCUAUUCUUGAUGUUAUAGCCUUGGGUUACAUGGCUGUUGGAGAAUUGAAGUUUGUUCACCCUCUGCUCAAUUUGGUAACUUCCUUUUUCUUUGGAAACUAAAUUUUCAUGUGCGUGAGGCCUCUGUUUGACAUGAUAAUGUACGUGGGUACUAAUAACUUAUUGAUGUGGUCGUAGAUUGCUAAAUCGAACUUUAUGCAAAUGCUUAUAAGUUUCAUGUAAGGGUUGGAAGGGAAUGGAAAGUUAUUUGUUAUUGCUUUUUCUAUUUUAUCUGGGUUAAUCUGGUUGUAUAGUUGUUAGACGUAAGUGGAUUAGAUGGCGCUAAUGACCAAUAUUCACAAAAGGUAUGUGCAAAAUUAUAUUCAGAUAUUUUGAAAGCCAUCCUAGAUAUUCUUUCUGUUUCAAGAGUGAUAUUCAUGAUAAUGGGAAAAAAGUCAUUGAAAGUUUAGUCUUAAAGUCAGGGGAGCUUCAUUUCUUUUUCCUCAUUUAAACUUUGUGAAGUACAAUUUAUAUUUCCUUUUUACCUUUUUUUGGGUCCUUUCUCGUCUUAUAUUUAUAAAUUCAUAUGUUGGUUUUCUGUGUGGCAAAUAGGUUAUAAAGAUUAAGUACCACUAUCUGCUAUGUCCAAGGCAAAAGUGAUAGAUAAAUGGCUAAAAAGUUCUGACUGCAAUAAAAACUGCUCAUUGAUGUAACAGUCACUCAUCAAGAGAGAAUUAAAACUUUUUCUUCUCUGCUUCACUUUUCUUGAUGCAAUUAUUUUCAUGAUGGCAGAUUAAUGAGGUUAUCGAGGAUCAAAAGGAUGAUGAACCUCUUCUGGACUCGGUACUUUUGCAUAUGGGAAGUAUGUAUUCAACUUUGGGGGAGUUUGAGAAAUCCAUGCUUGUCAAUCAAAGAGUUACUGAUAUUCUAGAGAACAGACAUGGUAAUUGCCUCCUUUUUUGUGCCUUUAUUUUUUAAAAAUUUUUUUGGUGUUGCUUAUGAGCUUCACUCAUUCCUUUUCGCAGUUGGCUUCUCUCAAUGAUUAUCUAAAAUUCAUGUCUUCUCCUAGGGAAAAAUAGUAUUUUUCUUGUCACACCACUGUUGGGGAUGACAAAAGUUCUUAGUUCUACUGGAAGAACUACAAAAGCAGUUGAUAUCUAUCAUCGUGUGAUAAAAAUCUUGGAAUUAAGUAGAGGCACUGAAAGUGAGGAUUUUGUGGUACCUUUGGUUGGACUUGGAAAUCUUUUAAUAAAGGAGGGCAGAGCUACAGAUGCAGAAAAUGCUUUUGUAAGGUAAGUGAGCAUAUUCUUUCAUAUUGAUUUGGUUGUAGUUUUGAGUUCAUUGUUCACUUGUUAUGUGCUUUUUUUCCUUUUUCAGAAUUCUAAAUAUAUAUACCAAGUUAUAUGGGGAGAAUGAUGGAAGAGUUGCACUUGCUAUGUGUUCUCUAGCCCAUGCAAAGUGUGCAAAAGGUAGCUUCUGUAAUUUCUCUGUCCCCCAUCCUCACCCCCAAGCCCGAAAUAAAUAAAUAAAGGAUUUAAAGCAUUUUUGGGGCCCUUGCAUUGUUUUUCAAUCAUAAAACAUUCUUCAGCACUUCAAAAACCUUUAAAUUGCAAUUAUAGUUUAUCAUGCCAGUUUUCUUACAGGGAAUGCAAAUGAAGCCAUUGAUUUAUACAAAAAGGCUCUCCAGAUGAUAAAGGAUUCAAGUUAUAUGCCUUCAGAUGAUAGCCUGAUGGAGAAUAUGAGAAUAGAUUUGGCAGAACUACUUCAUGCCGUGGGAAGGUAAGUUGGAUACAAAGUUGCAACUAAAAAUCUGCAUGCAUUCAGUAGAUUUAUAUGCAUGGUUUUCUCAGCCUUUGUGAUAAUUCCAUCUGUGGAUGUCCCUGAAUGUGCUUGGAUGGGGAGCAUUGUUCACAUGGGAUAGCAUCUAUAAUGAGGCUGAAAAAAAUCAAGUGGCUGCUGUAUGCCAUUAGGCCUGCAAAAUUUAGAAGUGUCUUUCCUUGAAGAAAAUCUCAUUCAGAAGCAAAAGGAAUUAUAAUGCAUUACUUUUUGAUUAUCUGAUUAUGCAGGGCAAAGUUUUAGCAUGUCAUAGUAGUAGUCUUGUGCUUGCAUUUCCUAUUAUACAGUUUUGGUAAAAGCAUAGUCUUACUUUCUGUUGCAAUUUGUAUGCUGGUAGGGGAAGAGAAGGUCGGGAGCUGCUGGAGGAAUGUUUAUUGAUCACUGAGAAGCUUAAAGGAAAAGACCAUCCCAGCUUAGUUGCACACUACCUAAAUCUUGCAACAUCAUAUUCACAGUCUAAAGAUUUUGUUAUGGCUGAACGCUUGUUGAGGACAAGUUUGGAAAUCACAAAAAAGGCUGAGCGGCCUGACAAUCCAUCCAUCACUUUUCCAAUGUUGCAUCUUGCUGUCACUCUUUACCAUUUAGAGCGGGAUGAAGAAGCUGAGCAAGUAGCGCUUGAGGCUUUACAUAUCCGUGAGAAGGCAUUUGGAAAAGAUUCACUGCCUGUUGGUAAAUGUUACUAUCUCAUUUACUUGUGCUGAGUUUGAUUAGGCUAAAUAUCAUAUCAUCUUGAUGAUUUUAAAGAAUUAGUACAUCAUUAGAAGAAAAUAAUUGAAGUUGUUGCCCUGAUUGCAUCCUGAUUCUACUACUAUACAUUUUGUAAUGUUCUUUGUUUUUAUGGCAGGGGAGGCUUUGGACUGUUUGGUGUCAAUUCAGACCAGACUUGGGAAGGGUGAGGUUGAGUUACUGGAGCAGCUGAAGAGAAUUCUGAGGAUUCAAGAGAAAGAGUUGGGCUACGAGAAUGAGGAGGUUAUGAUAACACUAAAAAAGGUUGUAUUUUACUUAGAUAAAUUAGGGAAAAAGGAUGAGAAAUUUCCCCUACAAAAAAGAUUGUCCAGGCUUUGGAUGAAAUACAAACAGGUUGUUCGAUAUUAAUAUGGCAUUUUCUCAUUUUCCAAAAAACAAAAAGUCAUAUAGUUUGCAAGUUAGACCAAAAUUCUUAAUUGAUAUCAAACCACAAUACAAGCGUUCAAGUUUACACUUUUGACAAAUUUCCUUGGCAAAACCCAAAGUCAAUAUCAUCGGUACAAUAAACCUCACAAUCCCUAUAGAAUUGAAAGCUUCUUCUUGCAUAGACACACUGGUACAUGGCUGAGCGAUUGGCAGAAGCAUGAAAUGUUACUUGGCCACAAAUCCAUCUCCCUUGACAGCUAAUGGGUGGAAACAAACCCAUAUCAAGGUCAUUUCUUCUUGAUCAAGACUAUGGAAGAGAAGCUAGCAUUAAAGUGCCAAUUACUCCUUAUGAGGCUAACUGCUAGCCUAUCUAUGUAAUUCCAAAACAAGCUCUCAUUCUCGAGUUUGGUUGCAUCAAGAUACGAGGCCAAACUACAAAAUUGAUUUGGGUCAGUUUCUUAUGGAAGUUAAAAACGUUUAUGAAUGCUUUGAAAGCAGACAUAAACAGAAACAUACCAAUGGUAGCAGUAUCAUACGUCUUGAAGCCACCUGCAUGGCUUCUUUUCCCUGUGACUUGGAUUUAAACAAUUUGGUAUAUGUUCCUUCCUUUCUGAAUUUUGUAAGGGAAGUUGCUGCCACGUCGACAUGUUGACCAAAAGUCAGGAUAUGGUCAUUUUGUAAUUUUUGGACGUAAUUGGUGGCAUUUACAAAUGGAAGGGAUAUACCAUCUGUCUCUGGGAGCGUUCAAGAGUUAGUACGGGGCAGGGGCAGGGCAAUGGCGUUUGCUAUCUCCAACCCAACCUGCAUUUCUUCUUCCAUUUCACCUCUACUUAAAACGGUAAAAGAUUCAAACCCUUUUUAACUUUCCAAUUUUGGCCUCACCAUUUACUUUGUUAGUCAAUAUUGAUUGGAUUCCUUCGUUGGUCUGACGCAGGCGAGAGCAGGGACAAAUUCAUGGCGUCUCAACCCCAAUUUAAAGUGUCAGGUUUAUCUUUGGAAAUUCAUUUUGUUUUCAGAAUUAAUUUCACGUAAUUAUUUUUAAUUUUUGUAAUAAAUAAGUUUUUUUAUUUUAAAGUGUCAAGUUGUUUCCCGGUUCGAAAGCGAGGGUGGUGGUCGCCGUGUUUGGCGCCGGAGAAAAUUGGUACAUGGUCAAACUUGCUUUUUAUUUCUUUCUUGGAUAUAAGAUAGUUAUUAGUAUCAAUAUACCAGUAAAUUGAAAUUAAUAAAAAAUGGAUAAGAAAAAAUGGAAUGAAUUUUUGUACUUUCUGAUGGAUAUGUUUAGUUAGAUUCAUGGUGAAGUAAUGUUUAAUUGCUUUGAAACUCAGAUGUCUUUAUUCAUAUCUAACUAAGAAUUUGGAUUAGAUGAAGGUGCUGUUUACUGUUAUGAUAAUUUAUGGGAUAGAGUUUGUGAAGAAAAGUUUGAUGUUUCUGUUGAAACAUUCACCAACAGAGUUCAAUAUAAAUCAAAUAGGUGUGGGAGACUGAUAGUUUUUGAGCAUUCACCCUUUUUCUCAUUCCCAAAAAUGUAAUUUCAUGCUAGAAAUACAGUUUAGAGACUGAGUGAGUAGCUUGUGGUGGGCUACACCUAUACUCAAGCUUAGAAUAGUUAUUCUAUUCACAAGGUUUUCUUCUCAUUCAUCUUCUGUUUCUUUCUGAUUCAAAAUUUUCCGGAAAUUUCAAUUCGGUGUUGGUCGGAUGGAGGGUAAUUGUGCUCCCUAUUCUUCUAUUAAAUUCAUAAUGUCUGAAAUUCUGUUGUUGCAGCUAUUUUUGUAUCUUAAGAAUGAAACUUAUACCAACAUAAGUUGCUUCGUAUUUCUGAAUCUUGCUCAUUGUUGCUUGCGUUUCACUAAAAUUGGAACAAAUUAGGAGUUGAGUUACAAAUGCUGGUAUAAGUUUUACAUUCUUAUAUAUGAUGGAAAUCUUCCAGUAUUUAGGAUUGAGUCAAGGUUCUCUACAGUUCUGAGUUCCCCAAAUAAUUUUGUGACAUGUCUAUCCUUGGUCCAUUGUUUUUUGAAAGUGAGUAAUUCAUUUCAUCAAUGAACUUUACAUACUAUCCAAAGUGGUAGCAGAGUGACAUCACGGAGCUGGCAGACAAGACCCUGCCCACUCCAAGUGAGUCCUGAAAUCAAAAAGUAUGUGAUCCCAUCAGGUUGUAUAUGGGAUCAAACACCGAAAACAAGACCACGUGAAUCAAAAUCCAGUCAGCCCUCCAGUUACCCAAAGACAGAACCGUUCCCAUCUAUCCUUGGUCCCUGCUUCAGUAGAAAUAUGUUGUUGUUAUGCAAGUGACAUGCUCAAAGGCAUUUGGUUGCAAUGUUGAUGUGGAAAUUUCCUCUUCAUUCAGACAAAGAAGGAUGAGAUGUUGCAGUACAAGUUGGAGCGAAUCCCUUUCCUGGAGGAGCAGGUUAGGAAGAUAAGGGAAGGAGGAAAGCUCUUGACAAUGGACAUCGAGCGACUGUUGCUAUCGGAGGACAACAGGUUUGAUUUUGUGAAUGAUGUAGCAGCUGAGGCCAAAGAUUAUAUUGAGAGUAAUCGGGAUGAAUAUGGAGGUACUAAAAAAGCUAUACUUCAUGUGCUCAGUAACCGUGUCAAUGAUUCUGGCUUCUAUCGUCCAGAUGCAUAUGCUGAAUCUGACCCUUUCAAGCCUGGACCUACUUAUUUGAAGGAAGAAUUUACGUAAGUUUUGUAUGUUAGUGUCCAUUGUAUUCAAGAUUUUCUUCCUUGUAAUUUCAUUCCCUCGGAUUUAAUGCAGUGGUAGUUCUUUGGAAAGAAUUAGUGGUUGAUUGAAUAAAUAUAAUGUAAUCUUUUGUAGUAAUUCCUAAUUCUUUUUGUAAUUUAAAAAUAAUUGGAGAGGGUCAAUGUUAAAUCUGGUUAUAGUAUUUCACUACUUAGUAUUUUCGUGGAAAUGUAGUACUAGAAUUUUUGGAAGAUGACUCCAUCAACAGAUCUGAGUCAAGUGGGAAUGAACAGAGUAAAUGAUGUGUACUCAGACCCUAAGCCCAAUAUUAACUUGGGCUUGGUGCAAGCCCAGAUAAUAUGACAAUAUUGACCCAAGUCUUACUUGACACGUGUAAUUGAUGAUUCAGACCUUUUAUCUGUCCUUUUUUGCCCUUUUUUAUAGACCUUUAAUGAAGUCGUCUCUGUCUAGCCAAAGAAAAGGGCAAAUAAGGAUAAAAAAACUUCUGCUGUAUGCAAGUCUCUUAAGCAUCUUCUUAGAUAUUCGCCAAUUGAAGCUGUCACUUAAGCUGACGUGGCUUUAUAUGAACCGCAGAAUAUUCACUUACACUGUGGUGGAAAAGUCCGUAGGAGAUCCUAGCUCACUUGGAAUAUAAUCCGUUAAAUCAGUUAGAGGCCUAACUUCACUCUCUUAUCUCCGACACCGCCACAAUCACAGAGAAGAUUCUCAUCCUUGCAAGCCGAAACUCGAAACUCCAACUCAUCCGUUGGACUCAGAGAUUCAACUCACUGAGUCAACCAGAAGCUAUGGCGUUAUCGAGUCCACAGUUACAGAGAUUCCUCUCAACCGACUUCAAUUUCACCUCCAACACCAAAUCAGCCAACAAGAACCACCUAACGACCACAACUAACAUCAGAGCCAGAAGCCCCUGCCGUUGCUCUGCGAUUGCAAUUGACGCUCCUUCUUCGCUAACGGACGUCGCGGGGAUCCGAUGGGGAUCCGCGAGCGUUCAGGGCAGACGCGAAGAGAUGGAGGACAAUUUAGUCAUACGAUCGGACGGCCUUGACGGAUUCUCAUUCGCUGCUGUCUUUGAUGGCCACGGUGGCGUAUCUUCCGUCGAGUUCCUCAGGUACGAUAAAUAUUACAUGCAAAUGACUAGCAAUAUUUACUUCAUUCCAUGAACUUUUUGCAUAGUUUAUUGCGAUUUAAUUUUAUAGCAAGAGAUGGUUCUGAUGAAAGCAGGGAUGAGCUGUAUAAAGAGUGUGUUACCGCUUUACAAGGCGGAUUUCUGUUGAAUGGAGGAGAUUUUAAUGCUAUUAGGAAGGCGCUAACGAAGGCUUUUGAAAAUGCUGAUAAGAAAUUGCUAAAUUGGUGAGCCAAAAAUCGAUGCUUUGAACCCACAAAUAUUGAUAAGUCUUUUAAUCUGAUUUUGUAGUCUUAAUAUGAUUGUAGAUUUUUGUAUAUUACUGGUUGAAGGUUUAGCUGGUGUUUCAUUUUGUAAAGGCUUGAAACGAUUGGAGAAGGUGAUGAUGAAUCUGGUUCAACGGCCACUGUUAUGUUAAUAGGAAAUGAAGUCCUCUUCAUUUCUCAUGUUGGUGAUUCGUGUGUGGUAUGGAUACCUAUUCCUAGUUCCUUUUAUAUAUAUUAGAAUCCUUAAUUUACAUAUAAAAAGACUAAAAUUUUUGAGUUUCUUGUAUAAUAGUAGCAUUUUUGGGAACUAGACAGAACACCACCUUUAUUCUUUAAAAGGGUUAUAUCACUUUUCAUUCUUUUUCUCGGUUGAUACACUGAUGCAGGUUCUAUCUCGUGCUGGAAAAGUGGAAGUGUUGACUGAUUCUCAUCGACCCUAUGGAAGCAAUGAGACCUCUUUGCAAGAAAUCAGGAGAAUCAGAGAAGCAGGUGGAUGGGUGUGUUUUUUCUGUUCUUGAUUUUCUUUUCGGCACUUGCUAUCUGAUCUUUAAUCCUUGCUGGUACCUGAGAGUUCUCACAUCUUAAAAUGUAUAAAGACUUAAAUCAAAAACUCCGGAGCCUCAGUGACGUUUGGUCUUACUCACAUCACACGGCUGAUUAUAAGUUUUUCCAUGCAAUGUCCAUAGAUUGUCAACGGAAGGAUUUGUGGUGACAUAGCUGUAUCUCGUGCUUUUGGUGACACUCGAUUCAAGACAAAGAAGAAUGAGUUGUGUUCUUCUCCUGUCCUCAUUUUAAAGAAUUUUUCGUGAUGAUUUGUACAUGUUCUGUACAUUACACUGUGUGACUCCAUCAUAAUGUUAAUGGCUUGGAAUUUUGCUCAGAAUGCUGAAGAAGGGAGUUGAGGAAAGGAGAUGGUCUGAAAAAUUUAUUUCUCGGUAUAUCUUCUGUGGAUAUCCUUUCUUAGUUUCAUUUUCCCCCUUUUGUUGUGGGUUCUUGCUUUACAAGUUAGUUUAAUUAGAGUCACACCUAGCUCAAGUGGUUUUCUAUAAUUAGGAUAAGUCAGAUAGCUGUUUGGUUUAUUUCAAACAUGUUUCAAGCUUACAAGAUUGUUUGGCCUUCAAUGUUUGUGCUCUUUCAGAAUAGUGUUCAAUGGAGACUUGGUCAUUGCAUCUCCAGACACUUUUAAAGUAGCUCUCGGGUCAGAUGCAGAGUUUAUCCUGUUGGCAUCUGAUGGGUUAUGGGACUACAUAAACAGGUAUUUCAAGCUAUGCUUUUAACUCUUGCUGCUGUACAGGCAGUUUCUUUUACAUGGGUUUGCUGUAUGUUCAAUUGAGAGAAUAAUGUUACUCUUACAUACCUACUAUUUUCUUCUUUCAGCUCAGAUGCAGUUGCUUUUGUUAGAAAUCAACUACGAGAACAUGGAAAUGUUCAGGUACAUUUUACACUGUACCAUAUAUGACCAUGUCAUAUCUGUCCAGUUCUUAUCAGAUCCAUUAGCUUUCCGAUGAUAUUCUUUCAUUGGUUUAGUCAUAACUUUCCCCUUAUUCCUGAUUCAGGUAGCAUGCGAUGCACUUGCACAAGCCGCUUUGGUAAUUAAUAGUAAUUUGUUUCUUUUGAUUCAUAUUACUUAUAUAUGUUUGUACGCAAGUUCCAGUAACGUUAGAAUCUUAUCAUAACAUGCAGGAUCAAGGCUCUGAAGACAACAUCAGCAUUAUCAUUGCUGAUUUAGGGUAUGUAGUUGUUUUCACUAGUAUGAUUGCUGUUAUGCUGUGCAGUUUAAGUUGAGCUAACAGAUUAUUUGAAUCAACCUCUACUGGAAAACUAAUCGUAGCUUUUUUUUCUCAUAUAUUUUUUUUAUAGAACUAAUUAAUGGUUAGCAAUACAGUAUAUAGUCUUAAAUUAACCAUUGCCAAUACUUUCCCACUUUGAAGGCUUCUUGCGCAGCCACUGGCUGAAUGAUAUGAGCAGUAUAUGAUCUUCAAACCCAGAAUGAACAGUCUAUUGUCCUUGGGCUUAGUCUGUUAUUGGAACUUUUAUUUUCUUUUCUAUUUUUGUCCUCGUAGUCUAAAUAUGUUUCUUUAUAAUGAAAGCAUUGCAUGUGUUCAAUGACUUGAGUAUUGCUUUUUCUGCAUUCCAAGAUUUCACUGGGGAAAGAAAAUAGGAAACGCAAAGAAAUGACUAAUAAGUCAAAAACUCUACGGGUCGUGCUUGUCUCUUUCAAUUAAGUGCAUCUGAGUUUUCUGUUUAUGGCUUUUCAUAAUUCCUAUUAAAGGAUCACCCACUCCCUCUCUUUAACUUUGGUUUCGCUUGCUUUGACCUUUGCACAGGCAGACCGACUGGCAGAGCUUGCCACUUGAGCAACAAAAUUUUCUAUAUGAGUUAGGCCAAGCUUUAGUUACAGUUGGGAUUGUAUCACUUGGAAUAUGGUUGUCAUCUCAGGCUUCUUUUUGAUAUUGGGUGACCUGUUGUAUAUAGAUCAACAUAGAUUUCACACUGUCUGUAUAAUGAAAUUGUAUAUGAUGCUAGCACUUUUUGGUAAACUUGACCUAGGCAAAUUUAAUACUUCUCAAAGAAUACUAUUCCGUUACUUGUCUUUCUCUGUAUCGGUUUUGGAAAUUCAGUAGUACUGACUGUUAUUGCCGUGGAAACUUCAUUCCAGUUUAUGUGUAAGCCGUUCUUACCCCGUUCAGGUACAAGAUGUACCUUAAGGCUUAAGCUAUAGAUGAAUUAAAGAGAAAAAGAAAAAGAAGAAUAAAAAAUAAAACUUCUGCUGUUGAAAAUGAGGAUAGAAAAAUCAAAGGUCACUCUGCCUUGCAAUAUUCAUAUAAACAACGAAAAUCAUUAGUCAAAUGGGUUCUGAUUGGUGCCCCCCGAAGCACUACAUAUCAGCCUAAACAAUGGUUUUUGAGGUGCAUAAUGAAUUCUAAAAGGUCCAGGAAAAUACGUAUUGUUGACUUGAAUUUCUGAAAUUGAAGCUAGGCAGUCAAACAUGCCAUCAUUAAUAGGGAGAAACUUCGUAAGGUGGAACAAAUUGGGAUCUAAUUUUAUAAGUACAAGUGAUAACGUUGAGUUUGAUAUCAACACUACUGUCCUUAAUUUCUUUGUUUUCUUUUUGCUUUCAAUGCAUAGGAGAAUUAUUAUAUAGAAAAUUCAAAUUCAUUUUUUUUUAAAAAAAAAUUGUAAUAAAUAAAUAAAAUAAGAUUAGAUAUUGGGAUGUUGUUGCAAUGAUCCUUUGAUUUAGCAUAUAAUUUCAUGACUUCAUCAAUAAUAUAAUUCCAUCUUCAGAACAAUAUUCCUCGUAUCUCAUCUAAAGACUAUACAUAACCAAUUAUGUUCAUUCUGCCUUAUUCCUUAAUAUUUCUUUUUUUGGUUUUAGAGAAAUAAGAUGUAUGAACUAUUACAUACAUAGUUCUAAAUUACUUCUCUGCAUGGUGUUUUUUUUUUUUCAGAAAAAUUUAUUGAUUAAAUUAUCUAAUGAGAGACAACUCUUUCUCAUUUACUUCAUCAAUCAUUCACACAUCAAAACUCAAAUUUGUAAGAUCUCGAAUUUCCAAUCCAAAAAAAAUAAAAGAAAAAACCGUAAACUACAAUUAAUCACUACCAUUAUAGACGUAUACUUUCAAUGUUGGGCUUUAUUAAUUGCUAUUUGGGGUAGCCAAUAAGCACUGCUAAUGGUGAAAUUUGAAAUCAACACAUACGCUUUGAUUUGUUUUCUAGUCUUGGGUUUAUGUGUAUAUCUCAUAAACAACUGAUGAGGAACAAAAUAGGAAAGCUUCAUUAUUUAUUCUUAAUAUAUGGUUAUGGCAGGCAAUAGCCUGGGAAGUACAAACAUAAAAUCACAUCCGCAGAAUACAGUGGCAAUAACACAGUUUUAAGAACAUAAUUAUACUACACCCCCCCGAGUAGGGUUUGUACUCUUUUGUUACUACUCACUUAACUGAUCUAAUAACUCCAUAAUAUAUAUAUUAUGCCUUGCCUUUCUAUUGCUAGAUGAUCAAAACCUCUUAAAAGAGAGACAGCGAGAAAAGAGUUUUUCUUUUUUCUAGUUAAUUCAUGGUUUGAUCAGGGCUUGCCAGGUUUUUUCCUUGGGUCAUGCUUAGUAUUGGCACCUGUAUCAUCAUAAUCCAGCAUUGCACCCAGCAUCAACAGCUUCCUGGAUGGAUUCGUUUGGAUCCCACCCUUCAUAAAGAAUUAAAAUCAACAGCAUUAGUUAUCCCCAAAGAUACAAGAACUCCCACAUUUCGAAAUACAACAUAUAUUUAUACGUGCAUUAAUUAUUAUUCUGCAUUUGCAACGAUUAUCAAAGCAAGCAGAUGUGAGGGAUUGUGGAGUACCAGAUGAAGUGAGUAUUUGGCCUGCAUGCCAUCCCGAAAGGCAGCAACGGUGCCUGCAAUACAAGUCUGGUCAGUGACAUGAUGAUGUUUUGGAAAUUAAUACAAGGUCUAGUGCUGACAUACAGAAUUAACAAGGAGAAGAAUGUACACUCGAUUAGAGUAUUACCACAGGAGAAAGGCAUGAGGAGCAAAGACAGCAAAAGGAAAGCCUUGAAGCAAAGAGCCAUGGCUAGCUGCGUUUGAUAGGGAGGGGGGAGGAUGUGAUGAGUUUGCUGGAGAGGGGUUAAGGUUGGGGAGGGGAAGGUGUGCUUUUAUUGUUGGUGUUUGAGGUAGGAAAAUGUGGCAUGGAGAGAGAGCUGUUGUCAUGGUGCACCCCACCCAAUAGCAAAAGAAUCAUGAUGAGUUGCAUUACCCCUUCUUUUGCCCACAACCCCUAAAGUCAACUGCACUGUUUUCAUAUUUAUAAUAUAUAUAUAUAUAUAUAUAUAUAUAUAUAUAUAUAUAUAUAUAUAUUGUUACAUCACACAAAGUGCACAAAAAGCAUUUGUAAAACUUAUAUGCAUGUCGGACAAAGGGAACAGUCGUUUGCAUGGCUCAAUCUAUAUCUAUACCCAUUCUCGGGUUGCCCUUUUUUCCGGCUGUAUUUCUCACCCUUUUCCCAACUCAAUCCAUCUCCACAUUAAUUUACACUAUCAAUAAUUUACCCUAAAAUCAUCUCUCUUUCUAUAUAUGUUACUAAUACUUUUACUUUAGCCUCUCAUUUGUUUCAACGGUGCACGUUACUCAAAUAAAAUUUAACAUCCCAUGUCUAUCUUCUUGAUAAAAUUACACUUAAAAAUUAAUUCUAUUUAUUAUGUGGAUUUGAUUUUCAUUAUAUAAUAAUAAUAAUAAUGUAGUGGGGGGAGGGGGGAGGUCAGAAAUCCUUCUCCUGGAUUUGUAAUUCCGUGGUACCAAACACCACUUUAUUGAAUAGUGGUUUUGAUCCUCAUGUUUCGGCUUUCAUCACUUUCCAAGGCAAUUAGAUGGAGACAAACAGGUUAGUGGCCUACAGACGAAAUCAAAUGCAAAAAGCAUUUAGGAUGUUGAAUUUUGGCGAGAGCCAUUAGCGGGAGCACUAUCAAAAGAAUAAAACAAAGCAAGGGAUGGGGGGACAACACAACACUUUGAACUCCCAACACUAAUUUUAAUUUAAUCAUUUAUUAACAUUAAAUUAAAAGUGUAAUUAAUCAUCUUUAAGGAGACCAUAUGUUGGCAAAAUGAUGCUUUCUUAUACCCAAAUUGAUUGACUAAUUAAUAAAACCUUAAUUUCAAAGUCGUCCAAAAGGAAUUAAAAUCAUUGUGUAUUCUUUUUAAUAUAUUUACAUAUAUAUAUAUAAAUAAUUAGUCAUAAGCAUACACAAAAUGAUAUAUGUAGCAUACAUGCAAGUGUUUGAUUUAUUAAUUAAUGUAUGAUUUUUUUCUUAAAGAGUAUAGUUUGAAUCAUCAUUCCAUCGAUUCAAAAAAAUAUAAUGUAUGUAACAUAUUUUGUGUUUUUAAAAAAUAAAAAUGAUGGGUUUAAUUUUAAAUUUAGACUUAAAAAAUAAGGAAAUUAUUGCAUAUUAUUGUGAUAUUUUUGAGAACUGAGGCAAGGGAAGCUGAAUGAUAAAAUUAAUGGUGGAUAUUUUCGGGUAUCAAAUGGUUCAACAAUGGCAGGAAUUGGUGAAGUCACUUACAAGAGUAGUACUGCUCAAAGUGGCAUAUGCUAUUCAUUGUGGAUGCUUAUUACAAUAUAUGUUUUCCUUUUUUUUUUUUGUUUGUUGGGUUACUCCCUGAUUUUUCCUCCAUUACCCAAUAGUUUGGGUUUUCGUUGCCUUGUACGGCCAUGAAAGGUCCUGAUGAGAGACAUGGAAGGAUUUACCCAAAAAAGAACAAAAUUGAGACAACUCGAUGCAUCCCCCCCUCCCUUCCUGCCUAAAUUUAUUAGAUAGGGGUGGUGGCGGUCAUAUCACAGCAGGUCACACCACAUUCUCUGAACUACCUUUAAAGGGGCAUAACCUGCCAUUUCCAUCUCUUUUCCCACUAAACCUCUGCCACCUGUUCGGAUGCCACAACUUUGAUCAAUGUGAUGUGAGUCGAGGCUUUCUCUAACAUCUUUUUUUAAUUAAACAAAAUAAAAAUAAAUAAAUUUAUAUUAUUUUUAUUUAUACAUAAUAUCAGUAAUUAAUACAUAUCUUUUCCCUCUUCUUCCAAGAAAGCAAUGCAAGUUGAUCUUAUUUUUCGGUACAAAUGUUUGUGAGAGAGGCAAUGAAAGCUAUCUUCAUAGCUCAUGCUGACAAAUUUGACAACAAAAGUAUGUACUAAAUUCGAUAAAUUAAUCAUGAUUUGCAAUUUCUUGGAUCUUUCCAACCAAUUGGAACUGCAAUUUCUAGUCAUAAACAAAAAGGCCUUUUGAGGGUUUGAAAGGUUUAUACAUACCAUGACAGCAACCUUUCCCUUUUCAAACCCUCAUGUAGUGUAAGACAAGAUGGUGAAGAUGGAAUGUAUCAAGGGCAGCAAAGUGCAUCAACUUGUUCUCUUCAUAAUAAGAUCAUUUGGGUUUUUUCUUUUGAUCUUUUUCAAACUUCUAAAUGAAGUUCAGGUCUGAUCAUUACAAGGCCUGAGUGAUACCAAUACCUUUUGGUCGUGAAUUUCAUGUGAUUUUUUCACUUCAUCUCCGAGCGUCGGUUACCAAAGCCUUGUAAAAGAUUGCUGCCCAAAUUUAAAGAGAAGCUUGUUUUCUAAUGAUCAGAUUUUUAAGAUUUAACAGGAUGUUGGAAGAAACUUUAUCCUGUGCGUGAUAACUAAUGGCUAGGAUGAACUCGUUAGACUACCAAAUAAAGUUUUCUCAGCUUUACAAAAGCAUUAGCUCUAUAUUGGUGUUGGUCAGUUUGUUCUUAUGAAGCUUGGAAUUUGACCCAAGUCCCAACAAAAGACGAAAUAGUCAAAAUCUUUGAAUAGUUAGCACAGUUCGAGCCAACUUUGAGGUGGGGUAUGAGUGGUUUGAAGCAAAUUAGUGGGAUGAAUGAGAAGCCAUAUCCCAUUCACAGGGUAAAGUUGAAUUCUAUAGAACCAGUCAAAGAGGCCGCACUUGAAUACUUGGUCAGCCUGUGAAAUUUUCAAUUUUCAGCCAUUAUUAAGAGCUCAUCAGAUGAAUAAGCAUCGGUUCCACUGCGAUCUUACUCUUUCCUAAUCCAUGAAUCACAAAAGCCACAUGGGUUGCUUAUUAGGAAUAUUCUCACUUGGAGCCAUUGAGAAAAAACCGCUAAUGCGAAGCAAAAAGGCAAACCCAGAAUUAUCUCAUUCGGCCCUACUAAUGUCAGCCCAAUUUGUGAUUUACUAUCACUAUGUAUAAGCAGUGAUAACCAAAAAUUCUAUUAUACAAUCUGAAACAACGGGAACAAAAUUGUAUACCCAAAGGAAAUGCAAAACAAAUAAUUUUAUGAAUGCAUGAUAUUGAACAAUUGACUCGAGACUUUUGCUAACAAUUCAAAUUUAUAAAAAAAAAAAAAAAAAAACCCCGACAACAACAACAAUGCAAUGCUGGAUGGAAUACUCCCAAUAGCAUGCUGUAUGUGGCUAACCCCCAACCCCACCGAAACAAAAUAUACAAAAGCAGCAGAGGUGAUUAAAUGCAACCCAGCCACUGACGUAUCAUACUUAAAAAAUAUGAAGAGUUGAACUACCAAAAGAAGGGGUUGAGUAACACUCAGAACCAAAACUAGGUGAUGGAAGGACAAUGGUGGAAAUGCAGUACUUGACAUGUCUUGAAGUGCUGCAGCACUUUGAACCAAAUUCUCAGUCAUCCACUCCAACAACCUAAAUUUAAUUGGAGAAAACCACACCAAGGCAAAAAUGAUGUUUGUCUUGACAAAUGGGGCGUAGAAACAGCACGUGACCAAGCUAGGUGACUAGUCAGUCUUUCCCACAUGUCACAGUUACUGAUCCUCCCCUACUUCAAUCUUUCAGGACCAACAGAUAUUCUCUCCCCCAGUUUCAUGGAGACCUUCAUCAACUUCUCUGAAACCAUCUUAAUCCACUUCCUCCAUGACAAAAGAAAAAAAAAAGGAAUCUGACCCCAUGAUGAUGAUGAUGCAAGAGUUAGUGACAACUUGAAGACUGAUUACUUCUGUUGUCUGACAAAGGCGAUGACUUGACACAUGCAAUCCCAGACCCUCAACUCAACACACCCAAAUGCAUGGACUUCCAAAAGAAAAUAAACAUGCUGAAUGGCAACACCCUCAAACAGAAAUGGCACGACUAAUGGCCAACUUGGCCCAUUCAGCAGAUUCUUUAAUCAUAAGGUCUUCAGAAGACAAGCAUUCAUUUAAAAAGUCUUUGCUUGACGGGGAUUGCUGUAUCAGAGAACCAGCAUGACUUCCCAAUGUAUCAGCUAGAUCUCCAAGGACUCCAAUGGCUGUCUUCAUAACCACAUCAUCCCUAUAGGCAAACAAGUAACAUAAAAAGAUGUUAUUAACCAUACAUCAAAGGACAUGUCAUGCAAUAAAGUAAAAGCCUAAAAGAGUAACUUUUAGUAGAACUCACAUGUCUUUCUCAAUGUAUAUGCUAUCCAAGAACUGAAGGAUGUGAGAUGCAUAGGGAAUCAAGAGCUGGGUUUUUGGAGAGUUCUUAAACCCUUGGAAAACCCCAGAAUAUGCCUCCAGAAUUCCAUUUCUCAGUGAAUUUGUGUACUCUGUCAAUUCAUCAUCACCUGCUGUAUGGGUAGACAACUCUGCUGCACUCUGAAGCGCGGACAUGGCCCACAUUAAGUACUUUUCAAAAUACUCCCCUACGGCCAAUGCAAUGUCGCCGAAGCAUGAAAAUAUGGGAGGUUUCACAGAACGAUGCAACUGGUUGCUUGAUAAAUUCUUGAGAAGUUGUGUCAUAAUCCCGUCACAGUAGGGCACAAUUUUUUCCUCUAUUGCCCUGGAAAUAUCACCAACAACACCAACUGUGACAGCACAGACUUGGUACUCCUCAAAAUUCUGAAGACCCAUCUCCAAGUACCUAUAAAACUCUGGCAUAUACUUUGCAAAAUCUGGUCCUGUUGCAUAAGCAAGGGCUCCAAUGGCAAGCAUGGCCUCCUCGUGUACAGUGGCACUCCUACAAGCAAAAACCCUAAGGAAAAGCCCCAUUAUCUGAUCUGCAUACUGCAUGAGCACAUACUUGGUUGGUUCUGAUGAACCAAGCUUCUGAAUGAUGACCUGUAAACACCCACAAAGAAGGCCCUGCAAUUCACUUUGCUUCUCCCUUUCAUCAGAAGACAGUUUCUGCCCCUCAAGGGUGUUAUGAAGCUCCAUCAUGAUUACAGGCACCAAUUGCAACACCAAUGAAGCUGUCUCAUCGGUUGAACACCUCACCACUUCAUUCAAUGUCUCAUAGGCAGCAGUCCUCAGUCGGGAUUCCCCAGCAUCUUCUCGAUGAGUAACAGUGAGAAGGGACUGGACAAUUUCUUGGAAAAAAGGAGUUAAAGGAGAUGAUGGACCCACCUCCUCAUAACCUUGAGCAAGAAAAUAGAGAGCACCACAGGCUUUCUCAGCAACAUUUGGAGUGUCCUUCAUACUCUGCAGCAGAACUGUGACUAUCUGUUGGCAAUUUGCCUGAGUGAUGAUAGGUGAAUCUACAGCAGAACCAUGAAGGAAUUCAAAGAUCCGUCCAAGGGCCCAGGCAGUAGUGUCUUUGACAUGGCUAUUGGGGUCCUUUGUCAAAGCACUGAGCAUGAAGGUUAAGGCAACAUUCACAAGAGAUAGCAACUUUUCAGGGGAAGGACCCUCCAAGAUUGAACCAAAGGCAUAAGUUGCCGCCUCCCUCUGCCUCCAAUCUGGUUUUGUUAUAUUCUCCUCAAUAAAUGGCACAACAAGAGGGACAAUAUCAUCUCCUACAGUCCGCGCAACCAAACCUAGACAGGUUCCGCCAGCCAUUGCAAUAUUCCAAGCCCCCUCAUCCUGAUCCUGAUCCUCCUCUUGCUUCAAGAGAGUCUCCAACAGCAUAGGAACAAGAGCAGGGAGUGCCUGCUUGAUAAAGUAAAAGCAAGGAAUAUCAGAGUCCCCAGUGAAAUCACUUCCAUAUUCUUCCAAAAUAUCUAUCUCCUCAUCACAUAUUGAACUCCAGAACUCAAUGGCUUGAAGUGAGACAGGUUCCUCAUCUUCCCUCACGGCCUUUGCCGUGAUGUUAAAAAUAUCCUGGAUAUAAGGAGCUAGUUUCUCGUAGUAAGUUGAUGAAAUGGAAACCAAACACUCGAAAGCUGCCUGCCUUAUCCUCACUUCUGGGGAUAGUGUUGCCUCACAGACAACUCUCAUUAUAUAAUCACGCUCCAUGUCAUUGCUGAAAUUUGCCUGAGCAAAUCCCAGUGCAUUGUAAAGUGCCCUUGUAGCAGCAAGCCUCACAUCAGUGUUUCCUUCUGAUGCACUCAUACCUUGAACUACAGCAGUAAGUAUUUUAUUUACUUGAUCUUGAUCAAUAACAUCAGGUGAGACCUCCUCACACAUAUACCCAAGAGUCUCUAAAGUGGCUUGCGUAGCAUGAGCUGGUAGCUGAUGAACAUUUGAUAAAAGCAAACUUAUCAACUCAGGCCACUGUUUCUGUGGCAACUCAAUGCCAGCAACCUUGGCAAUAACUUGAGAUGCAGUUGACCGAGCAUCAGAUACUGGAGAAGACAGAGUCUUCAGUAAGCAUGCCUUAAUCUGGCUCUUUGCAUUGGUGUCCAAUGACAACCAUCUUUGAACCAGCUCAAACUUCCUGUGCUGUUCCUUCGCAUCCAACGCAUUCUUAAGUAUCAAACCCGCUAAUUUACGUGUUUCAACAGGCUUCUCCUCAUUUGCCAACUCCACAGAAAGUGACAGCAAGAAACCAGGAAGGUUCUGCUCCUGGAACUGUUUCAAGCUUUCUUCAGCAGUCUUGCGCACAGCUCCAUCUAUAGAUUGUGCAUUUAAAAGCACCUGUGUAACUUCCAUCGCCCUAAUAUUUUGAAAAGCAUCAAUAAUUAAAACAAAUAGAUACACAAAUUCAAUAAAUAAAGUAACAUAUAUAUUCCAACACCUCGAUUCUGAAAACACAUCCAACCUAAAGGAAAACCCAAACCCUUAAAUUUGUUGAAGAAGAGUAAAAGACAGUAACAAGAAUAAAUCAAAUGCAGCGAUUACAUCAAAUUGAUCCAUCAAAACGUUAUUGUCAGCUCUACAUACAUACUUGGUAACUGAUAGGAUCACUCAAAUAUUCGGGAUCAAUUGUGCCAAUUUGCCAUUAAAAACUUAAACUUUAAAAUUUGGCAAAUAAAAUCAAACAAAAAUCCCAGAUCAUAAUAGAUUUAAAAUAAAUACAAUAAUACUUAGAAAUUCUAUCGCUCAAAUCUUUCCCAAAAAAGAAAAAUCUAAUCCUCUAACUAGUACUACAAAUAAACAACACCCUAAGAUUAAAAAAACGAAAAAGGAGAGCGGAUCAAUGCAUUGAAUAUCGAAUAACCAAAUCACUACCCAAAACCCUAAUUACAAGCAGAAAUGAAACUUUAAGAGCGGAAUUCGACAAAAUUACCUUAAAAUUCACGAAAUUCGAUGCAGAUUUUACUUUCCACCGAUCGGAGAAGGCCGAAAGGGGCUGAGUAGAACCCUAGUAUUAGGAGAGAGAAAAUGAAAAAGGAAAAGGAAAAGGACGAAUAAGAAGAAGAUGGAGACGCGGAUUCGGAGCUGGCCUCAAGUAAUUUAUACAAAUCUAUAUUUUUAUAUUAUUUUUUAGGGGAAAUGUUAACUGUACUACUUAACUUGAUAGUAUUACUUCUACGAUACUGUCUUCUUUUUUUUUUUAAAAAAAAAAGGGGGUAAAUUUGAUGCAUUAAAUGAAAAUUAUUUUUAAAAAGAAUAAUGUAAGUAACUUCAAAAGUGCUUAUAGCCAUUUUCUCAUUUUAACUUAAUAUUUCAGGAUUUUCUUUAUUAAAUUGUGCCAAAAUUGUGUACAUUUUAUUUUAUUUUCAAACAAUUACUGUGUUUUCAAUAUUUCACAUUAAUUUUAGUAGUUUUUUAUAUUUGAAUUUAAAAAAUAGAAUUUAUCAAUAUUAUAAAAUAAAAAAUAAAUUUGAAUUUAAUAUCUCUGAUAUUAUUUCUAAGGGAUGAUUUAAAAAACAGUUUUCAGAAAUUAAUUAAUAUAAUAGUAUUUAAAAAUGUCGUCGUAUUGAUGAGUAGAAUGAUUCUAAAAAGAAAAGACGAGACGCUUACAACACUUAACAAAACGGGUUCCGCAAGGUGUCUCAAUGGGGCCACUUUUAAGCUUUGUUUAAUCUUGCAUGGGGCAACUUGGUGGUAAUUAAGAUUUGCUUACGGAAAAAAAGUCAUCCUGGUUAACGGUUAAGAUUGCUUUAUAAGAACCUACGUUGACAUUCAAGUCUUCUCGGUCAUCUGAAGCGGACCGUCCAAAGACGUUAGUAAAGUUUUUGGAUUUGUACUUUGUAACUAUAGAGUUGGUUUCUGAAGCAGUUAUACUUUAUAUAUGGUAAGGCCACGUUCGGUUGACAAAGUGCGUUUCUUGUUUUCCUAGUAAUUAAUACCAUUACUAAGACAGGUUUUAAUUACGUGAACUACAUUUUAGUGUACCGAGUGCUCUUCAUUUCUCAUGUUCGUGACUCCCUUGUAUGGAUUCCUCCCAUUCCUAGUUUCUGAGUUUCCUAUUAGCAUUUUGGAAAUUGGACAAGUGAUCUGGUCUCACUCGCAUCACACGGCUGAAAACAGACGAAGAUUCUCAAAGGAAGGAAUUGUGUGCUUUAGGUGGCACUCAGUUCAAGACAAAGGAGGAGUUUGGUUCCUUCCUCCUCCUCACUUUGAAGAUAAUUUUCAUAAAAAUCUAUAUAUGUUCUGUUCAUUUGCAUGUCUACAUCAUAAUGAUAAUGGUUUGGGAUGUUUUGCUCGAAAUGCCCAACCAGGGAGUUGAGGAAAGGAGGUGGUCUGAUAUUUUCUUUUUUCUUGAUAUACCUUCUAUGACUUCUUACUUUGGUAUAUCUUCUAUGAAUUGAAUCCUUUCUCACUUUUUACCUUUCUUUCAAGCACCACAUUAUACCCUAAUUCAUUAGUCCUAUGGACCAAAUAAACUACAUUAAUAAUUUUAAUCUGGAAAUGAACUAAGACUUACAAGAAAAGGCGUAAGAAAAGCAGCUUCAUUCCUUGGAGGGAAAUGCAAUGCAAGAGCUACAGCCCAAUCAAAUUUAAUCAAAGCUACAGAAAUUCUAAAAUGAAGCAAAAAGGCAACUGCCCUAUUUAAGCAUUUAAUCAAGAUAUACAUUGCCUCAUCCAGCCCUUUUCAUGUCAAGCCCACAUUUUGAUAUGGUAUCACUUUCUAUAAGCAGUGACAACUAAAAAUAAAAUUAUACAAUCCCAACUCUGAAGCAACGGGAAAAAAAAUUGUAUAAUGGAAGGAAACAGAAAACAGAUAAUUUAUGAAUGCAUGAUAUUGAACAUUUGACUCAAGACCUUCUAAAAAUUGAAAUUAAACAGAAGAAGAAAAAAGGAACAACAAUAAUGCAAUGCAGGAUGGAAUGAUCCCAAUAGCAUAUGCAGUACGUGGUUAACCCCAGACCCCACUGAAAUAAAAUAUACAAACUAUGCAGCAGAGAAUAAAUGCAACCCAGCCACUAGUGUAUACUUAAGAAAUAUGCCGACUUGAACUAGAAAAAGAUGGGGGUGAGGAACGAUCAGAACCCAAACUAGGUGAUGGAAGGCCAAUGGUGAAAUGCAGCACUUGAGAUGUCUUGAAGUGCUGCAGCACUUUGAACCAAAUCCUCAGUCAUCCACUCCAACAACCUAAGUUUACAUGGAGAAAACCACACCAAGGCAAAAAUGAUGUUUGUCUUGACACAUGGGGCGUAUAAACAGCAAGUGACCAAGCACCUGACUAGUCAGUCACUCCAGCUUGUCAGUUACUGAUCCCUCCCUACUUCAAUCCUUCAGGACCAAAAGAUAUUCUCAACCACAAUUCAUGGAGGUGCUCAUUAACUUCUCUGAAACCAUCUCUAUCCUCUUCCUCCAUGACAAAAAUAUGGAAUCUGACCCCAUGAUGAUGAUGAUGAUGAUGAUGAUGAUUGAUGAUGAUGCAAGAGUUAGUGACAACUUGAAGACCGAUUACUUCUGUUGUCUGACAAUGGCGAUGACUUGACACAUGCAAUCCCAGACCCUCAACUCAACACACCCAAAUGCAUGGACUUCCAACAGAAAAUAAACAUGCUGAAUGGCAACACCCUCAAACUGAAAUAGCACGACUAAUGGCCAACUUGGCCCAUUCAGCAGAUUCUUUAAUCAUAUGGUCUUCUGAAGACAAGCAUUCAUUUAAAAAGUCUUUGCUUGAGCGAGAUUGCUGUAUCAGAGAACCAGCAUGACUUCCCAAAGUAUCAGCUAGAUCUCCAAGGACACCAAUGGCAGUUUUCAUGACCACAUCAUCCCUAUAGGCAAAUACAUAACAUAAAAAUUGUUAAUAAAAACACAUCAAAAUUCAAAUAACAAGCCAUUCAGUAGAGUAAAAGCUAAUAAGAGUAUCUUUCGGUAGAACUCACAUGUCUUUCUCCAUGUAUAUGCCAUCCAAGAAUUGGAGAAUGUGAGGUGCAUAGGGAAUCAAGAGCUGAGUUUUUGGAGAGUUCUUAAACCCUUGGAAAAUCCCAGAAUAUGCCUCAAGAAUUCCAUUUCUCAGAGAAUUUGUGUAUUCUGUCAAUUCAUCAUCACCGGCUGUAUGGGUAGACAACUCUGCUGCUCUCUGAAGUGCGGACAUGGCCCACAUUAAGUACUUUUCAAAAUACUCUCCCACUGCCAAUGCAAUGUCGCCAAAGCAUGAAAAUAUGGGAGGCUUUACAGAACGAUGCAACUGGUUGCUUGAUAAAUUCUUGAGAAGUUGUGUCAUAAUACCAUCACAGUAAGGCACAAUUUUUUCCUCCAAUGCCCGGGAAAUAUCACCAACAACACCAACUGUGACAGCACAGACUUGGUACUCUUCAAAAUUCUGAAGACCCAUUUCCAAGUACCUAUAAAAAUCUGGCAUGUACUUUGCAAAAUCUGGUCCUGUUGCAUAAGCAAGGGCUCCAAUGGCAAGCAUGGCCUCCUCAUGUACAGUAGAACUCCUACAAGCAAAAACCCUAAGGAAAAGCCCCAUUAUCUGAUCUGCAUACUGCAUGAACACAUACUUGGUUGGUUCUGAUGAACCAAGCUUCUGAAUAAUGACCUGCAAACACCCACAAAGAAGGCCUUGCAAUUCACUCUGCUUCUCUCUUUCAUCAGAUGACAGUUUCUGCCCCUCCAGAGUGUUAUGAAGCUCCAUCAUGAUGACAGGCACCAAUUGCAACACCAAUGGAGCUGUCUCAUCGGUUGAACACCUCACCACUUCAUUCAAUGUCUCAUAGGCAGCAGUCCUCAGCCGUGAUUCCCCUGCAUCUUCUCGGUGGGUGACAGUGAGAAGGGACUGGACAAUUUCCUGGAAGAACGGAGUUAAAGGAGAUGAUGGACCCACAUCCUCAUAACCUUGAGCAAGAAAGUAGAGAGCACCACAGGCCUUCUCAGCAACAUUUGGAGUGUCCUUCAUACUCUGAAGGAGCACAGUGACUAUCUGCUGGCAAUUUACCUGAGUGAUGAUGGGUGAAUCUACAGCAGAACCAUGAAGGAAUUCAAAGAUUCGUCCAACAGUCCAGGCAGUAGUGUCUUUGACAUGGCUGUUGGGGUCCUUUGUCAAAGCACUGAGCAUGAAGUUUAAGGCAACAUUAACAAGAGGUAUUAACUUUUCGGGGGAAGGACCCUCCAAGAUUGAACCAAAGGCGUAAGUUGCCGCCUCCCUCUGCCUCCAAUCUGGUUUUGUUAUAUUCUCCUCAAUAAAUGGCACAACAAGAGGGACAAUAUCAUCACCCACAGUCCGUGCAACCAACCCAAGACAGGUUCCCCCAGCCAUUGCAAUAUUCCAAGCCCCUUCAUCCUGAUCCUGAUCUUCCUCCUGCUUCAAGAGUGUCUCCAACAGCAUAGGAACAAGCGCAGGGAGUGCUUGCUUGAUAAAGUAAAAGCAAGGAAUAUCAGAAUCACCAGUGAACUCACCUCCAUAAUCUUCCAAAAUAUCUAUCUCCUCAUCACAUAUUGAACUCCAGAACUCAAUGGCUUGAAGGGAGACAGGUUCCUCAUCUUCCCUCACAGCCUUUGCUGUGAUGCUAAAAAUAUCCUGGAUAUAAGGAGCUAGUUUCUCGUAGUAAGUUGAUGAAAUGGAGACCAAACACUCGAAAGCUGCCUGCCUUAUCCUCACUUCUGGGGACAGGGUUGCCUCACAGACAACUCUCAUUAUAUAAUCACGCUCCAUGUCAUUGCUGAAAUUCGCCUGAGCAAAUCCCAGAGCAUUGUAAAGUGCUCUGGUAGCAGCAAGCCUCACAUCAGUGUUUCCUUCUGAUGCACUCAUACCUUGAACUACAGCAGUAAGUAUUUUAUUUACUUGAUCUUGAUCAAUAAUGUCAGGCGAGACCUCCUCACACAAAUAUCCAAGAGUCUCUAAAGUGGCUUGCUUAGCAUGAGCUCGUAGCUGAUGAAUAUUCGAUAAAAGAGAACCUAUCAACUCGGGCCACUGUUUCUGUGGCAACUCAAUGCCAGCAACCUUGGCAAUGACUUGAGAUGCAGUUGAUCGAGCAUCAGCUACAGCAGAAGAGAGAGUCUUUAACACGCAUGCCUUAAUCUGGCUCUUCGCAUUGGCGUCCAAUGACAACCAUCUUUGAACAAGCUCAUAUUUCCUGUGUUGUUCCUUAGCAUCCAAUGCAUUCUUAAGUAUCAAACCUGCCAAUUUACGUGUUUCAACAGGCUUCUCCUCAUUUGCCAACUCCCCAGAAAGUGACAGCAAAAAAGCAGGAAGGUUCUGCUCCUGAAAUUGUUUCAAGCUUUCCUCAGCAUUCUUCCGCACAGCUCCAUCUAUUGAUUGUGCAUUCAAAAGCACCUGUGUAACUUCCAUCGCCCUAAUAUUCCUGCAAGAACAAUGACAGAAAUUCAAAAGGUAAUACAAUAAAGCUUAAAUAUUCCAACACCUAAAUCCUGAAAACGCAUAAAAGGCCAAAAAAAAAUAAAGGAAAAAGAAAAAACCGUAUUAUGAGUAACACUAUCUGAACUAAGGGCAAACUAACAUGAAACAGAACCUUAAAAUUAAUCGAAAAAGUGUAAACGAAAGUAACAAGAAUGAAACCAAUGUGCCGCAAAUAAAUCAAAUUGAUCCAUCCCUAUUGUCAUUUUUACUUACAUACUAAGCAACUGAUAGGGAACACUUAAAUAUUUGGGAUCAACGUAGCAAUUCGACAUUGAAAACUUAAACUUCGAAAUUUUGGCGAGCAAAAAUUCAAACAAAAAUCCUAGAUCACAUUAGAUUUAAAUUAAAUACAAUAACACUUAGAAAUUCGAUCGUUCAAAUCUUUCCAAAAAAAAUUAUAAUACUCUAAUUAGUACUACCCUAAAAUUAUAAAACAAAAAAGAAAGCGGAUCAAUGCAUCCAAUAUCGAAUGCCCAAAAUCACUAUCCAAAACCCUAAUUACAAACAAAAAUGAAACCUUCAGAAAGGAGUUCAACAAGAUCACCUUAAAAUUCACGAAGUUUGAUGCAGACUUUACCUUUCACCGAUCGAAAAGAUCGAAAGCGGCUGAGCUGAACAAAACCCUAAUAAUUGAAGAUAGGAAAUGAAAAAGAAAAAAAAGGAAACGGAGGAAGAGGAGAAGGAGAAGCGGAUUUGAAGCAGGACUAGAAUAAUUUAUACCAAAUCUAUAUUUUAAAUCAUUUUUUAAAUAGUAUAUUUGUAGUAUUAAUUCCUUUGGCCGUUUUUGGCUAGUACGUGUUCCACAGGGUGUCAAAGUGGACCCACCUAAAAGUUGACCGACUUUCUACGUGGGCAAUUUGGUAAUUAGGAUUUGCACAUGAAGAAAGUCAGCUGACUUAAUGGUUAAGGUGGCUUUAAAAGAAACACAGUUGACAUCUGUCAUCAUAUGGUACGUUUAGUAAUUGUACAGUUAGAUUUUGUUACUUCAGCAGAACAAGCAGUCUAAUGUCCAUUUAUGGUUAAACUUUUUCUUAAAAGAUUAAAAAAAAAACAAAAGAAUUAAUGCAGAAAAUCUAGUUGAUAAUGUGGGUCUUUUUUUUAUUUCUACUAAUACCAUUAUUAAGACAGAUUUUCAGAAAUUAAGUUUAAUGAAUAUGAUUAAAAAAAACAUGAGCUUUUUAUUUAAUGAACAUGUAUCAAAUUUCAUCUUAAUUAUUGAAGCUUGUUUGAUGAAAAUUUUCUUUUGCAUGGAAUGAUAGCAAAGAUAGAUAAAAAUUAAAAUCCAUCGAUUUAUUUUAAUCAGUAUUCAUACAUAGAUCUAAUAAAUAUGAUACAAAAUUAAAUAGAUUUAGGUUUAAGAUAAUUGUGUUUCGUAUUUUAAUUGUAUCCCUUGUCUUAAAUGUGUCAAAUACAUUUAAUCCAUUUAAGAUAUAUUUAAUUAUUUGUGUUAUUAUGUAUUCCUAUAACCUACUGCCUAUUUCAUUAAUCAUGUACAUGUGCCUAUUGACACAUUUAUAACCCAAUUAUCACCCGUUUAAAUCUCAUAUAAAUAUUUUAUUUAUUAUAAUUGAUGAUGAUAGUGGUAGAUUUUUAUUAUACUUGAUGAAUAUUAUUGUUUUAUUAGUAAUUUUUUAUGAUUAUUAAUUUUAAAUUUGACUAAUGAAAUUACAUUUCAUUUAUAAUUAUAUGCAUUUUAAUUUAAUUAUGUUUAAAAUUUUAAUCAUGUUAAUCAUUUAAAUAAGUUACAAAUCAUGUCGUUUCAUAAAAAAUUUAUUUCAUUUCGAUUAAUAAACGUGUUAAACAUGUUAUGUUAUAUUACAUGUUUUAUAAAUGUAUUUGUAUUAAUAUUUAAGAUAUUAACAAGUUUAAUUAAUAGCAUAUUGGUAUUUACUUAUAUAAUUAUUAAUAUUUUAUAUUUUCAUAACAUGGUUAAGACACAUGAACUUCAAAGAAGCCUUAAAAAAAAAAAAAAACAAAAGAACAAUAUUGGUCAAAGGAAGAUGGAGUGACAAAUUUAUACAAAAGCUUUUGCUCUAUUUCUGAUCUGUUCCCUUGUCUAUUUACAGAAACACAAGCCAAAAUUAUUGGACUUGGUUUUCUUUUAUCAUGUGCUGGGAAUGGGAUGGGAUGUUACAUAAUCCAAAUCCAAAGCAUUGCAUGAAUUACGUUUCUAGAGACUAGAGUUCGUCAUGGUCAUCAUCAUAGUCGUCAUCGUCGAUGCUGUCAUCAUAGAGUGAGUUGUAGAAUAUGCUCUCGUGAUUGAGAAUCUCUUCCAUGGUCAAAUUCCCAUCUUUGUUAUCAUCAGCCUGGAGUCAAAACAAAAUUCAGAAACCCAUGGAGUAUUUUACAAAUUCAAACAAUAUCAUUAUACAAUUAUUAAUUGACUUCACCUCGUAAAUCAGAUAACUGGUGUAGUACUUGGCGUAAAACAGUUCACCAGGGUAGAGAUAACGGAGUAUGGGUCUCAAUUCAUCCAGCUCCAGGUAUCUGCAAAAGGGCUCAAAGUUGUAUAGAUGGUUAUAAAUUUAUAGGAUCACCACCAGUUAUUGGAAGAGAAAAUAGAAAUUACUUGUCUUCGUUGAUAUCUAGCUCUACGAAUUUCUCUUCAGCUGUGGGUGCAAGAGCAGCAGCAGUCUCGAAUUCAGCAUAGCUUUUGUAUAUGUUGUAUGCAUAAUCGAGAAAUUCCUUGAAGUUGAGUUUGCCAUCGUGAUCAUCGUCCAUCCGUCUGCUCAAUCAGGGAAAAUCAUCAUAACUUUAUCCAGCGCAAGCAAAUGAUAGAAACAGAGAAAACGUGAGGAAACAAACUUCAUUUUUUCUCUCAACAGCCAUUUCUGAAUUUCUUCGUUGUCACUAUCCUCCGGAUGUAAGAAACUGUAGGAAAAAGGAUUGGGUAAACCUGAUCGAUAUAGCUUUGCAGUAUUGACCAAAGAAGCCAACCCACCCCCACCCCCGNAGAAAGUAUUUACUCUUUGAAUUCGUUGAAGUCAAGAGUCCCAUUGGAAUUCAGGUCUGCAUUGUUAAAUUGCUCCAUCCACCAUCCAGCUUCACCGUGCUCUUUUCUAUUUUUUGCUGUUCCACAUUCAACUUUUCAAUUCAUAUGCAAAGAAAUCUUAUUGUUGCAUCUAUUUGGCUAUAAUUAAGGAAACUAGGAACAUUUUAUAUCAAUUACAUUAAACAUUUGAACCCAGAUAUAGCCAAAGAUUUCAAAGUUUCUUUCCUUACCUAUAUCAUUCUCGUUAAAAUGAGGCAGAUACUCGCUGAAGCUGAUAGCUCCAUCCCCAUUUUUAUCGUGCCAUGACAUGACUUUAUUGGUUCUAAAACUCAAACGAUCCAUUGCCUGUUGCCCAAUCCAAGCCCCUAGCUCCUUGGCACUGAUUAAACCAUCUUUCGGUGCACUGUCUAGCAAAGGGAACAAAAUCAUCAACCGCAGAGUGGUGUUUAAAGUUCCGUCGUCGCCGAAGAACUCGUCGGCGUCUGCAACCUCAGGAACAUAAGAAAUGUGUUCCGGAUCAACGUGAUAGCUCAAUCCUUUUUCUUCCGCCGAUCUCUCGAGUCUUGCGACCAGAGGGUCAAAAUGUGGAGCUUUGUAGCCAAGGCGGCGACUCAGGCCUGAACGGGUAUGAUGACCAUGCCGUUUGUUUUGGAAGAACACGAAUAAAAUGAUGAAGGCGGUGGCCAGAAAGGUGUAAACCACCGCCUUCGCCAUUUAAUGGCUUCAACAGGGAUUAGGGAUGAGUGGAUAAUGGUAGCAUAAACAAUAACGGGAAAGUUCAAUGAAGUUAGAUAAUGAUUUUCCCGUCUCUUUCCUUUUUUUUUUCUUUUUUUUUAUUAUCCAUUGAAGUCAAUGAACAUGGGGUGGCGGGAAAAACGGUUAUUGGCAGUUAGAAUCGAGAGGCAUAUACAUAAAGCACUCAAAUUAGGGGGGGUUUAAAUUUAAUUCAGAGAUUUGGGUUUUCUUUGAUUUAUUAGGCUUUUUAACUUUACUUUGUUUUCAGAAGCCAAAAGGAGAAAGUUAGACAGGCAUGCUAAUUCUUGCCUACUUCAUAAAAUCUUCAAUGUUCAAAUCUGUGUAACACUUUUGACAUUAGCGGCCAAGGUUGUCCCAACACAAGGCCUGUUCUGAUCGGAUUACACUACCACCAAUGAGCUUUAUUGGUCCACGUCAUCAUGAACGACAAGUUCCAAUGUCCGAGGUUUGAACACAAACACACCGAUAGUUGCGGUAUAAGCUACCAUGUAAACCUCAGUUAACGACCAAUGUCUCUGCACUCUAGUCUAUCAAAGAUGCAUUUCUCAUUAAUUAAGACUAGGAAGCAAGCGAACAAAGAAGAAAGAAGAAAAUCGUGGAGCUUCUUCACUUGGCUCACUAUUGCAAAUUAAAGAGGAGGCCACCAAGUUCGGGAACGGUAAUUGGGACAGACCUUGGCGCGACUUAUUCUUGUGUUGGUGUGUACAGAAAUGGUCAUGUUGAGAUCACAGCCAAUGACCAGGGUAACAGAAUUACCCCUUGGUGGGUGGCAUGCCAUAUAGUGACAGUGAGAGAUUGAUUGACAGGUGAGGCAGCAAAUAAUCAGGAGGCUGUCAAUCCUGAGAGGACCGUCUUCGAUGUCAAAAGACUUAAUCGAAGAAAGUGAAUAUUCUCAGUUUAUAAUUUGUGCAUCAAAUAGCUGAACGGGGUUUUUGGCUGAUUUGAUGACAGAGGGGUUCAGAAGGAAAGCUUGUAGCAUGCAAGAUUGUUAACAAGGAUGGGAAGCCUUGUAUUCAAGUGAAAAUUAAGGAUGAGGAAACCAAGGUCUUCAGCCCUGAAGAGAUAAGUGCAAUGUUUCUUACAAACAUGAAGGAAACAGCAGAGUCAUUUCUUGGAAAGAAAAUGAAAGAUGCCGUCGUUACUGCUUCAAAUAACAUUCUUUUUUAUCUGUAGAAGUCAGAUCUUGUUGACUUACAAGGUAAACUAUGGUUUCUGUUUCUGAAGGUUGACUUGAAUUUGCUUGUAUAAAUGUCAGCAGCUUACUUCAAUGACGCACAAGGGCAAGCUGCAAAAUGAUUCCGGUACACGAUUGCUGGACUGAAUAUUGCUAGAAUAAUCAAUGAACCAACUGCAGCAGCCAUUGCCUAUGGUUUGGACAAAAGGGUAGUGAAAAGAACGUUCUUGUCUUUAACCUUGGCGGUGAAACAUUUGAUAAUGGUGCUUUUGAAGCUCUUACCACAAAUGGAGAUACUCAUUGGGGGAGGCAGGCUUCUUUCUGGCUACCACGUUGCUUCGGCUGGUAACCUCUCAGUUGAAAAUUCGACAAAGAAUCAGGACUAAUGCAGACUAAUAUUUUCUUCAGGAGAGGAUUUUCAUCGGAGAAUCAUGGAAUACUUCAUUAAAUUGAUCAAGAAAAAAAAAGAAUGGAAAGGACAACAAAGCUUUCGGAUAGUUAAGGAGAGAAUGUGAGCGAGCCAAGAGAGCACUGAGCAGCCAGCAUCAGGUCCGCGUGGAGAUUGAAUAUCUGUUUGAUGAAACAGAUUUCUGAAACCACUUCCUCAAGCUCGAUUUGAAGAGUUGUAUAACGAUCUGUUCAGAAAACCAUGGGACCUGUCAAGAAAGCCAUGGAGGACGCUGGUUUGCAGAAGCACCAGAUUGAUGAAAUUGUAUUUGUUGGUGGAAGCACUUGAAUUCCCAUGGUUCAACAGCUUCUUAAGGAAUUCUUUGAUGGGAACGAACCAAACAAGGGUGUGAACCCAGAUGAGGCCGUCGCAUAUGGUGCUGCUAUAUAGGUAAGUAUCUAGAGUGGAGAAGGAGGCGACAGAACCAAAGGUAAAAAUUCUUUUUCCAAAUUUCCAGUUUCUAUAUCUCUUUCCUAUUGUUGAUCAAGCAGGUUCCGGAAGCUGAGAACUGACUAUUGUUUUUGUCAUCAAAUGUGCUUCAGAUAUACUUCUACCGGAUGUGGCACCGCUGACCUUGGCAACGAAACUGUUGGUGGGGUGAUGACCAGGUUUUUGACGGUGAAAGGAGUCUCACAAAGGACUACAGGAUGCUUGGGAAAUUCCAUUUAUUUGAUAUUGCUCCAGCUCCAAGGUGAAUAAUUUACCAUGGCUGUCAUCCAUCUGUUUUAAGAAAAUUCACGUCCUGGAUCCUGUUAGCAAGGAAGGUAACGGUAGUUCUCUGCUUCCACUAAUUUCUGGAUUGUUUAAGAUUUUGGAUGCUUGUAAAUAGAUGUGGGACCGUUUAUGAUACCUUCACUGGUUGGUCCUUAUUUUGGCUGUGUUUUUUGUAAGUCAGGUUUGUAACUGACUGCUGUCUCAAGUCAGAUUCUUUUGUAAAUUACAGGGACUCCCUGUCUUGAUCAAUGAAAAUCCUUACUUAUUCAAAAAAAAAAAAGAAAAUUCAUGAAAAUGCGUGCCAACUCGUUUGUUUCAACAGAGGAACCCCCAGAUUGAAGUUACAUUCGAGGUAGAUGCAAUGGUGUAUUAAACGUUAGGGCAAAAGACAAGGCCUCGGGGCGGCGGUCUGAGAAGAUUACAAUUGCCAAUGACAAAGGUAGGUUGAGUCAAGAUGAGAAUUGACCGUAUGGUUCAGGAAGCAGAGCAGUUUGCCGAGGAAGACAAGAAGAUGAAAGCGAAGAUCGAUGCUUGAAUAGCUUGGAGAACUAUGUUUACAAUAUGAAGAACCACAUAAAUGACUAAGGCAGGCUUGCUGAGUCUGAAGAGGAGGAGAAGAUAGAUUCAGCAAUUAAAGACGCCCUGGAGUGGUUGGAUGACAAGCAAAAUGCAGAAGAGGACUUUGCUGAGAAGCUGAAAGAGGGGGGGUUGUCAAGAGUAGAGAGACAGGGAAAAGGGCGAGGAUUGCUCCCCUGUAUGCUUCCUAUUUCACAUGUUCAAUUUUGGGUGGGGAAGUGAAAAUGACAAGUUUAUUAAAUUUACAUUUUAAAACAUUUAUCAUUUUAAUAAUAAAUAAUUUAUUUAAAUUUUUAAAUAUAUUUUUAAAUAUUAAUAUAUGAUACUGUUUUUAUUAUCUAAUAAUAAAAUAAUAAUUAAAUGAGCGAACCAAAUUGAACUAAAAUUUGAUAACUUAAAAAAAAAAUCAUAUGAACCCAACUCAAUCCACCGAUGAACACUGCUUAACAUGUCCAUGUAUUAAACUUAAAUUUUGAUAUUUAACCAUAAUUUUAAGGAUUAAAACCAUAUUUUCAAUAAAAUAAUUGUAAAUCAAACAUUAAAAUAUUAUAUUUUUAAAACUUUAAUCCAAAACUUUUUCAUUUAUACCAAUGGCGAUGAUAUUAAAACACCAAACACCACCUUAAGGAGCUGCCCAACCGUCCAGCCGAAGAGGCAGAGUUUUGUUAUCGAUUACACAUGGUCCUCGUACAUUUAAAUCUCAACUCCCACCAACAACCAGUUAGGUUAACUGCUCACAACCCCCACACCGUCCACGACAUAACGGUAUAUAUAACAAAACUCUGCUCAAACCCUUCGAAGGGAGACACCCGUGUUGUCACUAGUCCGCAUACUUUAACUAGAUCAGUAACUGGUGAUAUAGUCACACGAAUGAAUAAACCUCUCUCUUUUUUACCACCUUCAAAAGAAAGCAUUUGAAUUCAUUUCACUGGCUAAAUAUUCUCUUCAAUAUAAUUAGGGAGAAAGAGGGAGCAGUAAUUAAGAAGAUGAGGGCAAUAAAUGAACAACAUAGUGCCCCACAUUAGCAUAUAACUAUGGAAAAAGAACAAAAGGUUGUUUAUAGCCAUAUACAUCCAUGAGUAAUUUGUCAAGAACUAUUUUAACUGAAAGCAAACUCAGCAUAACCCAUAGGUUAAUCGGCUUUGCCUGCACAUUGCAACCAAGGCCAAUCCAACGCACACAGGUCAACUGGAGAGUUGCCAUCAUCGUCCUCCAUAUCUUUGUCUGCAUUUUGUUUCACAAGAAAUUCAGCAAUGUCUUCCCUCUCACACACAACAGCGUAAUGCAAGGGGGUUUGGCCUUCAUUGUCCUUCCAAUAGAAAAAUAAAGAUUUUAACAACACUGAUGACAACACCAGAAACAGAGAGAAUAAUAUAUGAAAAAUAUUGUGCACCGUUGAAUAGGUCCAAGCUGACGCAUGAACCACCCAAAACUCUUAUUUCUCAUUUACUUCAGUACUCUAUUGAAACAUAAAACAUUGCAAAGACAAUAUUUCAUAAUUUUUGUCAUGCAUUACAGACCCAUCAAGAAAACUAUGAGUAGUUUCAGCAAGCAGAAAAAUAUCAGGGAGUAAAAACCAAUUAAUUGUGACACCAACAACAAUAACUACCUUAGCAUUCACAUCAGCAUUCCUGCUAACAAGUGCUUCCGUAAUUUUAAAAUGGCCACGGUCUACAGCCCAAUGCAAUGGGGUCCUGCCUUCACUAUCUGCAUGCAUCAUAAGCAGAGAGCUUAGAAGGUUAUGCAAGUCUUUCAAAUCCCUGGUAUGCAAGUCUAGUUCUUUCUUUAAAGGAAAAAAAACAGCUUCAUAGAAACAAACCUCGCAAAUUCACAGAAACAUCACUUUCAAUGCAUUUAAGCAAAUUAUCCAGUUCUCCUUCUCUAGCAAAAGCAUGAAUAGCAUCCAUUUUCCUGAAAAAGAAUAAUCCUUUAGCAUUCCCAUCAAAAUUCUUAGUUACUAAAGAACUAUACCCUCUGAUCUGAAGGAAGUGUUAAAGAAUUUUUGGAGAAGGAAAGUUUAAUUCAUUAAUGAAUCACUUACAAAAAUGCACCCCUUUGUCUAACAGGAACCAUUUCAUAGUCCAAAAAAGCACAACCAUAUUAACAACCAGCACAUAGCGACUUACACUAUACCUAAGGCAUCAUAAAUGAACAAGUAACAUCAAUGCUUGUGAAAGAGAUUCAGAAUUCCCUACAAACAGCAAAAGAUGAACCCAUAAUGCACAGAACAAACAGUAAAAUAUAACUAUCUGACUUAUGUCCAAAAUCAGACUUGAAAACAUAAAUCCUGGAAGGGGCACAUUCCUUUUUCAUAGUCCAUAGUUAAAUGACCUUUGACUGUGGAAGGUUCCAUAAAUAUAUUGUAUUGGAUAGGAAGAUGAUAAGUAGAACCACAACAUAGUAUAACAAGAAGAGAAUUUUACUAUCAUGAGUAAAAAAGUAAACAUGCUUAAUUAUACCUCAAGAAAGGAAGAAUUUUUUCUAUUCAAAUUUCCAUAUGACUCUUGCAUGUUUAAAACCGAUUACUCCAUCACAAACAACAGUAACUUCAAAGACCUACAUAAGUUUGCUCAAGCAAAUAUCAGAUAUCUAUAAGAUAAAUCAUCAACCGCACAAAUAAAUUCAAGCCUGAUCACAUAUAUACAACUAAAGGUCGAGUUUACAUCAAAAUGUACCCAAAAAACAAUUCAAUUGGUAUUCUCCUAACUUGUUAACCUCAGUGAGACAUAAAUAGACCUAAUAAAUAGCAUUUAAAAACACCCGAUGGAAGUUCCAAGAACCUUACAACUCAUUUCCAGAUUCCUCUUCAUACACAAAAGAGCUGAAAACUGGUCCCAUUGGUCCUCUGGCAUCUCUACUUGCAGCAUUUUCAGCCCCACCUUUGCUCUUCUAGGAACAAAAGUUGAUAAAUCAGUAAAUCAGCAACACAAAAGAAAAAAAAAAGUAGAUAAUAAAACAGUAUCAAAGAAACGGCAAGAUAGCAACAGAAAAGAUUAAAAUUGCACCAUAGCUGAACCAGCAGCCCAAGUUGGAUAUAGCUCUGUAACGAUGUCAAUGUAUUUCUGCAUUGCUUCUUCUGGAGGCAUAGCACCCAAUUUGUGCCAUGCUUGCCUAACAAAAAUAUGAUAUCCAUAUUCAAAUAUUAGGAAUGUAAAUUCUCAAGCAAUUUGCAAUCAUUUAAAUGUUGAAUUAUGUAGUAGAAACAAUUCUCAAGCUAAAUGGCAGUGCCUCACAAUGUGGGAGUAAUAAAAGAAGAAAAAAAAAGGACAAGCAAACUUUGCCGAUUGAAUGAGAAAACAUGUCAAUUAUCAUUCAUCACCAACUUUACCCAAAUGUCUACUCAUAAUAAGUGCUUCAAGAAAACAAGCUGAACUUUGAAUCGUAAAAAGAUCAAAGAAUACACUUCUCAGAGCCAAGUGAAAACUUUUAUCAAAGAAUCUGUUGUUGCCAGCGAAGCAAAUUAAAUUAUACUCAGCAAGCUCAGUUGUAGAAUUCACAUUUCCCAAAAUAAGAAACAGCCCACCAACAAACCAACAAAAAAUAGACGAAGAAAUUAGAAAAGAAAAAAAAACAGAAAACGCCAAUAAGCACCGUCUUACCACUUAGCACGAGCCGUCAUUUUCAAAGCAGAAGGCUGAGGAGCAGUGCAAGGACCUUCAGUGGCAAUUUUGUACAAACCGUAAAGCUGCAACUGCACCUCACUCGACACCUUCUGCGACAACCGAUCCGCCGCUGCCGCCGCCACGAACGCCGUCGCUGCACUAAACGCCUCAUCCAGCUCCGUACACUCCACCCCUUCCCAAUCGUCAUCGUCGUCAUCAUCAUCACCAUCGUCAUCACCACCAUCACUCUCGUUCCUAACACUUCCCACUUCGGCGAUCACCGAAUCCGCGUCGUGCGGUCCCCCGAAAUCAGUGCGGACAUGCGGGUCGGAUUCGGAACCCGAGUCGAGUUUGUUGUGGGCUUGGACAUGGGCUGUUCGGGCUCGGGCAAUUGAAAGGUUAUCUUCUUUGAAAGAAACGACUAAGGAGAUUAACUUAGCGAGGAGAUAAGAGAAGAGAAGACCUAUGAGUAUUGAUUGCAAAAGCUGUUGCCAGUCAGCCAUGGAAUCCACCAAGAUAUUCUCAAGUAAAAAUUAAAAACCCUAACCCUAAAAUUUGAGAGUGAUUGUACGGACAAAAGCGUAGGGAAAUGAAAGCCUAGAAAUGGAUCAUCUUGUCAUCGGAGUUAAACUAAAACCCUAUAAACCUUUUGAAGAUUGAAGAAAAUAAUUUUCUUUUUCUUUUUUUAGCUUUCUUUAUAUUUUUUACUUAUGUUCCUUUUGGGCUGGGGGACCUCUUUUUAGUAGUUUUAACAGGACGAAACUUUGGCGCCGGAGGAACAGUGUGCAUCCUAUUAAUAGCGAGAAGAGAACCAUUACGUGGGUGUAGUGCGCACCCUUGAAUUGGAUCAGGUGUUUCGCGGACUAUGGUUAUUUCUUUUUUGUUAGACAGGUGGCUUGUUUUUAGUCGUUGAAUUUGGUGGUACUGGUAAAAAAAAUAUCGAUCUCUCUUUGUCUUUAUCUCCGGAGAGAUGGUAUAUCACGUGUUUCACACGUGAUGUAUCAGAACUUUUAGUUCACUGUUGUUGGCCUUUAUUAUAUUUCUUUAUGUGGUUGGUUAAUUCUUACAGCCUUUGAAUAAUCUUUUAUUAGAAGCCAUGUGUUACAACUUACUAAUAUUAAUGCAUUAAUGAGUUUUGAUAUCACCCACUAAGUUACGUAAAUAUUAUCACGAAAUUUUGACAUAAUUUAAUCAUAAACAAUAAAAUCUUCAAUCACAAUAAAUAAAUAUAAAAAAUUGUUUUAAAUAUCUAUACUGCAUUUAAAAUUCAUAGCUGAAUUGAUUUUUAUGUUUGGAAUAAUUGGUUGAAUUGUAAAAUAAUUUAUUGAUUGAUUUAUUUAGUUAAUCUUUGAUUUAUAUUAAACUUCACACAAUAGUAACAACAUAUAGGUUGGUAAUUGUUUAAUUAUUAUUAGUAUAAUUUAUUCUUUUACAUGUUACUUAAUAAUCAACCUAAUAAUUAUAAACAGUUGGAAUAAACGACCUUUAGGAUUUGAAUUUAAGUUUUUACAUAAUAAUAAAAUGGAUCGUUUUUGAAUUGGUGUCCCCAUGUAACUAGUUCAAUCAGAUCGGUAGCAAAAAUGAAAAGACUUACCACUACGGGAAUCUAUCUCAAAAUCUUAAAGCAAAACCAUCUUAUGUUGUCUAUGAACAUAGUUAUGCUAUGCGUGAGUGUGGGUAUGCAGUUUGCUACGUUCAUAGCCCAAUUUAAGGAGGGUUGAGGCGUGGAACCGAAUCCAGCCACACUUUCUAUUUCGGUUGCGGCCCACAGUCAACUCUUUCUAUUCGUGAAGAAACCGCAAGCAAUUGACUGGAGGGGUCUGUUUCAAAAAUGUUUUGUGAGAAGCCAACAGUUUCGCUGAUGCUCUAGCAAGAUCGGGGGUGGAGAGAGGGGACAUGUUCUCGGCUGUAUGGUAGGGGAGGAAGUUGCAGUCUGGAACUUAUAUGAAAAGAUAAUAUCAGCUGAUGUGUUCUGGUUUUGUAAACAACUGGCAGUUGGAAGAGGCAAAGGUGAGAAGUCCAAGUAAGGAAUCCCUCUUGCUGUCUCUGUCUUGUAUUUUUGUUGGUUUUGUUAUGUGUAUGGAGAUCGGGGUAAAAGGGGAGCAGAGCAGGCCUGCUGUAAUUCGUAUGCUUCUGCUUUAUGUUGUGUAGCUCUCAAUUAAGGGAGUCUGCGGUUGAUUUUGGACAUUGUGAUAUGGGGGAAGUUUCUGUUGCUGUUGUUCGUUUUGUACCAUUCCAGAGAUUUGGAAUGCGUGAGCUGUUUUAAUCUCUUUAUUUAAUGAAAGCAUAUAUUGUUUGAAAAUAAUAAUAAUAAUAGACAAGUAUUCAUCAAAGCGCACGGAAUUAUACUACAACAUAAUGUCGAUUCAAGCAUUACAUCUUUGAGCUAGUAAAAAAUUUGUGUAUAUAUCUGGAAUGUAAUUCGCUGCGAAUACCAUCACCAUAUGGCCAUGCGUCUAUGUCUAGGCAUGUUACAUCCCUCCUCCCUGUUCCUGUUUUCUUGUCUGUAAAGGAACUAUAAUAACAAAAGCGAAAACAAAAUUGAAACUGAUCAAUCAUUCCUAGUUCUAUGCCCCCUGGUUGUCUGAUUGCAACAAGCUGUCCUCUCCAUCAGCAUCAGUAUUGACACUUUCCAUAGCCUGCAACAUGAAAAGAACAAAAAAGGGUUCAGAGAAAGUUUGUCAAAGAUGAGCUCUAGCAAUCAAAAAUAUGCUACUAGCUACUAAUUAAGAACAUGGAUGCAUCAGAAAGACAAGGGUGGAUAACAGGGCAGUAAGAAGAGGUAUUCGUGAUCUUAAUUACUUGGAUCAACGUCUGUGAUGGCUCCAGUUUGCUCAAAAGCACAAUCAUACUCUUUCCUAUCGGUGGAUUGAUAGUAAGCAUUCAUGGCAAAAGCUGCAUGGGCUCGAACAGUGUUAGGAAGGAAGCAAGCUCCAUCUUCUUGAAUCGGUCCACAGUCCAAACCCAAACCGCACACAUAAUCAAUAUUUCUUUGUAAAGCAUUUUCAUCCGCGCCCGUUUUGGGAAGACACCAUUGUUUUCCCUCAGACCUUGGCGUAGGAUUCACCGGCGCCGCCGUUGGCACUGGGGUUGGGUUGUUAGGAAUGGAUGAUCUAGCCUGCCAAAGACAAACCACAAGAAUAGAUAAAAUUCAUUAAUCAUUAUCGGUAAAUCAAUUUUAUCUAAUUAAUUCAUGAAAUAUAUUUUUCACCAUGAUUAUUAAUUAUUAGAAGGCUGGCUGUAAUGACUAACAAACAUGUAACAUGGUGAAUAUUGGGGCCGGCAGCUACCGUGGGCCUUAGGAUCCCGACAUCAUAAACGGGUGCCAUAUCUGGUUGGAAGAGCCCGAAAUUCCUCUCACAUGUAGGCCCUGGCUUAAGAUUUUCAUUGAAAAGCGCAAAGAUGUAGGUCUCGAAAGUCCGGUUUGGCAUUAGGGGUGUGCCAGCACCAGAUGCUACGUGCCGCAUGAGAUUGCCAUUGUAUUCAGCUGCACUCUCUGCAUCAACACCAACUUGGGUCGAAUCCCCCAUGGAUGGCCAACCAGUUUCGGCUAUGACAAUCUCAAGAUCAUCAAAUCCUACGAAUUUCAUGGCUGAAAAGACCGCAUCUAAUUGAGCAUCUAACAUGUUUGUGUAAUGCAGCUCUGUGUUUUCAUCGAACACUCCUGCAUUAGGCCGAAACAGGGCAUAAUCAAGGGUAUCAGGUGAGCAGCCAAAAAAUGGAUAAGGGUUCACCAUGAAGGGUGAAUUGGUAGCUCUAAGGAAGCUAAGCAAUGGUUUGAGAACAUGAGUGUCAUAGCCUUGUCGAAACUUUCCAGUGGAUGGUGGGCUUGAAUUUGAGAGAAUGCCUAGAGAGUGAGGUGUGGAGACUUGGAUUCUACGGUCUAGUGAAGCUUCAACAAGGGCGGUGUGGAGGGUUUGCACAGCUGGAACAAGACUUCCUAUUAACAGUUUGUUUGCUGUUGAUAUUACUUCAUUGCCUACUAAAAUACGGACUAUAUUCGUGGCUGGUGUGUAAGGUUGGAUAUUGUCUUCCACCCAUUGUUGAGCCAAGUUUAGCUUGGUAAGGCGAGGGAUUUGAUCAUUUGGAACAGUUACUGUGAUAGCAAUGCCAGUGUGGGCAAAGGCUUUUAGAAUGUCAGGGUUGGCGUCGAAGAGCCUAACGCGGUUGAUGACCGUGGACUCUAGAAGGAAAUGCGCCACUUGAGCUGGUGGGGGAAGAUUGUUCGCAACGGUGCCAUAGUUUAUCCCAAUUGUCCCUUCGACUCCUAGAAAAAAAAAGAUAACCACACCAAUUAAUCAGUUAUACAUCUAUGUUGGUACAAAAUUUUUGCAAGUGGAAUAUCACAGUUUUCAUACCUCGGACGAGCGUUGAUGCCAGAAAAAAUAAGAUGGAUGCGACCAAUACAGAAGAAAAGACAGAGAUGAAUUCUUUCGCCAUGGCUUUGGUGGGUAUGGGAAGAUGCUGAAUGAUGCAUUGGGGGCAAACCAUGGCUCAAGAAGUGGAGUGUGAGAUACUUUUCUUUGUGAAUGGGGGAAGGUCUGGAUGCCGUGGCAUGAACCAUGUUUGCAAGAACUUUAUCGUUUGCGCCUGCUUUAGAUGUAACUUUGGAUUAUACCUUUUCCUUUGAUUCUGUUACAUCAUUCUCCCUUUCUUUGCAACGGAAUUUUUUUUCUUGCAACCAAGUAUGGGCCAAUCUUGACAAUGCGAACCGGGCUUUGUGUAGUCAAUCAGCUUGGUAUAUUGAAGUGAAAGUGUCAUCGAGACAACUAAUGAAACUUGUCAGAUCUUACUUUAGUCCACGGCAGGGGAAUAAUCUUUUCUUCCAUGCUGGAGAAGGUAUCAGCUGUCGUGAGUUCCUUAUUAGCUUAAACAAUACGAUAUUCUUCAGCUCCUAAUAUAACCAGUGAGAAUCCUAUCAACUCUCACAACGCAGUAUAAGAGAGCCUAAUAUUCAUUUUUAUUACUUUUUUAUUUGAAAGUUCAAUAUAUUGAGGAAAGGAGAGAACGAAAUUCGCCCCUAGAGAAAGCAGAAGAUUUUAAACUGUUGUCCCCAAGUCAAGAAUAACACUCCCGAAUCCCGGUACACAAACAAAAAGAUCUGUCAGUAAAAGUUCAGCUUACAAAACCUUGCUGAACUCAAGUCCCCCAUCACACCUAUACAAUCAUAACCCACCUUAAAACCAGAAACAGACACUUUCUCAGCCAAACCCAAAAAUACAGUUCAACCAAGAGGCUCAAACAAAAAACAACCCCUCCAAAGAAGAAAUGCCAACUCAUUUUUAUUACUUAUUUGACCUUUUUUCACUGAAUUAAGCUCUUGCUUGUGGCCUGUGUUUGCGAAUCAAAACUAUACUAGCAGAGCUUUAGGUGUCUAUAGAUUUGAUUGUACCAAAUAAAAUUUUGAAUAAAAUACAGUCGGAGAAGUCGCAUAUAUCAGCAAUGAAAAUGAAAAAAAUGUAACUAAAAAAUUUAAAUAUUUCCAUCGAAGCAGAAUGGAAAAUGCUGUUGAGAAAAAACAAUGAAAUCCAGCUCUAGAUUCAUCGUACACUAAAUUAUUACUGAACGUUUUCCCCGACAAGUACCUUUUCAGCAUUUCACAGCUCAGCCAGUUUCUCAGCCUGUCACUUUUUUAUUGGUUGGGCAAGCCUUGUUCUUAUCCUUUUCCUUCCCAUUAAUUUCUUGGCAUUUGUCUACAUCAAAAUGUCCAAAUGCAUUUGAAACCACUCAUGUUACCACUUAUCCAGAGCUACUCGAUGAAAGGCAUUUUGAUUAUUAGUUGCAAUAGUAAAAGCCAAUUCAACCCUACCAACAAGUUUGAUUACUGUUAUUUGAUAAAUGAUAAUCGGUAUUACAUGAUAUUUGAUUCAAUGAUGAUUUAUGUAUUUUUUUUAUAUUUAAAAAACGGGUUUGAAUCCUUUUUCUUUAAAAUGAAAACAAAUGAUAAUGAUUAAAUAAACAAUGAUAUAAUGAUUUUAUGCAGGGGAAAAAUCCUCUAGAGAAACAAGGUGAGAUUUGUCCACAAAAAAGGGGAAAAAGGACGAAAGAAAUUAACAAACAACAUUGUUAGCAUCAAGCAUGUAAGUGUUACUCACUUCAGUUUUUUGUCCCUUCCUUGGUGAGAUGCUAAUAAGCAUUAAGUCUAACUCCGACCAAGAUAUAUGAAGCCUAACUAGCCAGGCUAACAGAGAGCAAGCUCCUAAAACUCACCAUAUAGUAAUGAUGUUAUCAGUUCUGAGGCAAAAAGUUUGUAGUAAGACUCGAUCAAAUACUAAUAAAGUUUUGUGUGUGUGUACGCAAUGUGCUUUAUUUGUUUAUCUGCAUUUUGAUGGCAAGAACCAAAUACUAAAGAUCAGUUGCAUCUAAAAUUUGGCGACACUGGAAAGUGGGAGAGUUUACCUUACAUAGGUACUUACCUACGCUUUUAAUAUGAGGUGCAAAGGAGAGCAAGAACAGCCUGGUAGAGGAACUUCCACUUUUAACAUUGCUUGUUCAAAUGAGCAUCUCAGAAACAGAAGCAUUAUCAGCCAAACUUACAGUAAACAGAGACUAUAUAUAUAGACUAUACUCUAUAUUUUGGACUGAUAUACAUGCAAAUGCAACUGUGAUUGGAAUACUCAUUUGAGCAAGAAACAUUACAAAGAGGAAUUAAGUUACUUUCUCUUCUCUCUCUCUCUCUCUCUCAACCUUUCUCUGAUCUGAAUCAUCCAACACUGAUGACCCCUAGAAUCUAAGGUCCAUUGCUAUAAAUAGAAGGUCCAAGUAUGAGGAGAAAAAAAACCAGUACAGAUUGCUGAAUUACCAAAAUGCCUCUGCCGCAAUGAGGCAUGGUAAACAGAGAAGAAAAGAACUGCUUGUUAGUUGUUUGUAAUUUAAGCCUGUUUAAUUUUCGAAGGACAGUUUGGGAAACUGACUGAUUAGGUGCCAUACUAAUGAAGGGGCUGGUAUAUAUCGGACGGUGCAGAAAAUAGUUGGAGAUUGGACAGUCAGUUUAAAGAGUCUAAAUGAAAAGGAAUUGUAGUUGCUGAAAGAAUGGCAGCUCAAGAUUAUCAAUCCUAACAACCUAACCACCAUCAGUCAAUUAGGAGGGAAAAUAAAACAACCACCUAUGGUGACAAAUCUUUUAUCAUUUCAGAAUCAUUACCUGCAUGCCAUCUUUAACAAAUGGUAAAUUCUUUCUCAUCAAAGCUACUAUUCCCACCAAUAUUUCCUUUUGUAAUUUUGUCUGGUCCAUUGUUUGCUCUAUUACAAGUAUUGUUUCAUGUGAGGUCAGCAUCCACUGGAGAAAGAUAUCAAGUCUGCUGCUGCAUUCUCAGCAGUUUUAAUCUAGGGAAGUUGUGAUUCAAUACGCUAGUAUGUGUCUCCUUUUUCUUCCCACUUUCCAAGCAAAAAAAGAUGGUACGGUAUAUACAGAAUUGCUAUUGGCUUUUGUGCCACUUUGACCUGGGCUUGACUCAAAGUGAUUGAAGUGAGAAUGGAGGUUGAAAACCUGUCUGUUGUAAGGAAAUGUAAAAUGCAUUAUCGGAUUUGAUUUUAACAAGUAUUUGUAGACACUUGUCAACUACAGACUGUACUGCAUUACCAGAUGAAUGAGCCCCCCCCGCCCCCCCCCCCCACGUCAUAUCAGAAAAACUAAAGGGAGGUGACCAUUCAGCUUCUAGUGUACAAUUUCAAUAUGGGGUUGGUAAAUCUAAUAAAGGAGUACACUAGGCAUAUGAAAGGAUGUGGGCGCGUUUGCACCGACCUUUUUUAAGAAGUUGCCCCAUCCUCAUUAACUCUGUCUUUAACAUUUUGGUACUCCUGCAAAAUGGGAAUCACCUAAAGAAGCCAUACCUUAGUUCCCAAAUCUGCCUUUUGGGGUAGGUAAUGCAAUAUAUAGCAAAGUAUAAUUUCUAUUUGAGCUGCUGUCACAUCAAUUACAACUCAAGUGAAUCACUUGAAGUGAUGCCCCGACGUUAUUGAGUUCAAACAUAAUGGAGAACAUGCAAUUUUAAUUAUUAUCUCUGAUUAAAUCUUAUAGAUACAAAAAUGAAUCAACAUUUUGAUGGAAAAAUGACGGCAGUAGUUAUAAAUAAAAACAUGGCCUACCUCUUUAAAACAUUACAGCAACAUCCUUUCUAACAGUAAAGCAAUAACCAUUAAAUUUCCAAAAUGUAGGCCACUGGUAUUUAAUGCAAUGUGCAAUUAUUCAUCCUGUCUUGCUCGUUUGAUUAUGAGGAUGCAAUUUGACAAGAAGCGACGAAUUCAAGAUUUUGAAUAAGAGUUGAUCAGAAGAUAAUUAUAAAAAUAAUAAAAUUAUAUAUAUAUAUAUAUAUAUAUAUUAAUUUAAUUAUAAUAAUAAAANUAUAUAUAUAUAUAUAUAUAUAAUUUUAAACUUAUAAUAAUAAAAAAAUUAAAAAUUGAAAAGUGACAACGGUCGGUCACCAACGUGACCUUCUUGACUUUUACCUUGCUGACAAAGGUUUCGAAGAAGGUACAAACCCAGGAAAGAACAAGUCACGGUACCCACUUCUUUAAUUUCGCGAAAAGAAAUUCUAGAAUAAUCAAAAGGAUGGUAACAUUUCUAACAAACAGACACUGAUGUUAAUAAAUUUUUGUAUAUUGUACACGUAACUAAAUAUUAUAAAAGGGAUAGAGAUAGAGAAGCCAUUUUCAUUUCAAAUAAAAGCAAGAUGUCUUCCUUUUUAAAAUAUACAGCAAGAUCCUUUCUAAAAAGCACGUCUCUCCGUUUACUUUUUUCCUUAGUUAAUAGCACGUAAUAAUCAUUAAAUUUCCUAAAUGAAGGCCACCGGUGUUUGAUGGGCUAUGGAAAAUGAAAUGUACAAUUAUCCACGAACACAUGUGCGGGUCAGCCGAACUAUGGUUACUUCACGGCCACACCAAACAUGUGCGGGUCAGCCGAACUAUGGUUACUCUUUACCCACCAUUACUGUCCUCGUCAGUUACCCCGGUCUUGUAAAACACCAUAUUGCUUGGACUGUUGUAAAAUGGGAAAUGCGCAUCCGGGGAAUCGAACCCCGGUCAGUACCGUGGGAGGGUACUAUGAUACCACUACACUAGAUGCGCUUGUGCACGACUCGUUGUUGGAAAAAAUGCUUGUCAAAAGAAGAGUACGUUGAUAUGCUGGUUGUCUCCAAAUCUUCCUCUGGCAAACUCUUCCUUCUUCAUAAAGUAACUUUGUCAAGCAAUAGCUUACAGAUACUAACUCUUAUGUUUCGAAUCAAAAGGUGGACAAUCCUUUCCAAGGAUUACUAAUUAUUUUUGUACAAAUUGCGGUUCAUGAUUAAUAAAAGAAGCAAAUACAUAUAAAAUUGUGAAAAUUUAUUAUUUAACUGGCUCUUUUACGCAUGAUUCAUUUUAUUAUCAACUUUUUAACAAAAUCAUUAAUGUAAAACUAUUCACUAUUGGAUUGACCUUUAGUUAGAUGACCAAUCUCUUUCGUACGGUUUUCAAGAAUUUUUGCUCUUGCUACUAAUAAACAGGAGUAGUCGCUAACUUCGGUUCAUACGAAAAGAAUUGUCGGAGGUGGAACAUUCCGCUAAGGCAUAACCCAUUUAAUUGGAAACUUGGUCAGUGGAGCAUUUUCUUGGAUGUAGUCAAAUCAAUCCAACCUCACCAUUAUUCUGCCCCAGACAAAACCACUUGGAAGAAAUCAACUAGUGGUACAUACAUGUCUUCAUCUUUUUUCAACCAUUGCCAGUCGAACAUUUGGGCUUCCCAACCACAUUGGAGGCAAUUUUGGAAGGGAUUUGCCCCCCCUCCCCCAAAAACUUGAAGUCUUCAAAUGACAAGUCUUUCUUGGAAAAGUCGCUGUCAAGCACGAACUCUUCAAAAGAGGUUUGCUUGAUAUUAAUGCUUCCCUUUGCACUCUGUGUAAUGUUGAACCUGAGACCUCUUCUCACCUUUUCUUCACUUGCUCAGUUGCUUGGAUCAUUUGGAUGCACAAUUGUAGCCUUUGGGGACUUAGUUGGAUUCACCCGGGUGAUGCCACUAGCUUCUUUGUUUCUUGGCAAAACAAUAAACCACCUUAUGGUUCUCUUGAAAUAUGACACAUGCUCUUCUUCUCUACCUUAUGGUCAAUAUGGCUUUGUAGAAACAAAACCCUUUUCCAAAGUAAACAACUUGAUGUGAAUCAGAUGCAAGACAUUAUCCUUGUUAGAUUAGCCCAUUGGUGCAAGGGCAAGUGGCCACUCAACCACAUUCUAGCAUCUCACUUCCUUUUCGAACCUAGUCGAAUCAGUAUCAAUAUUAGGAAAUGCAAAAGAGUCAUCUUUGAAUGGAUGAGACCAUAACCAGGUUCCUUCAAACUGAAUAUUGAUGGCUCUACCUUUGGGAAACCAGGGCCUGCAGGUAUAGGUUUUGGGGUGCCAUUAAAGACUACAAUGGUUUCAUUAAAGGGGUUUUGUCUUCUCCAUUGGCAUCAAAGACUCCAACUACGCUAAGUUUCUUGCUACAAAAGAGGACCUUUCUUUCUUCUUUUCUUCACCUUGGGCCUCUAGCACUGUCCAUAUUGAAGGUGAUUCCAAAAAUACCAUCACUCGGGCAUUUGAUCACAACUCUGUUCCGUGAAGUUUUUAUUCAACUGUAUUGAAGCGUUCAAAACAAGCUCCAAAGAUCUUACUUUCACUCACAUUAACAAAGAGGCAAACACUUUGGCUGACGGGCUUGCAAAAGCUGGGACUAUCAGGUUCAAUCGUUUUUCGACUUUGUUAUAAUCCUUUGAGCUGUUUUGGAUAACGAGGGUGCUCAAUCUACCAUGUUUGCUCACCUAGUUUGUUCACUCAGUUGAGUUUGUGAAUUUCUAGGUAUUGUCUUGUUGAAAUUUUUUUCCUUUCUAUUGUUGUGGCUUUCCUUUAAGUCUAUCUGUUUAGAACUGUCUCUGGCAGUUUAUCUUUGUAUUGCCUGAUCUGGCUUUGCUUAUUAAUGAUCACUUGCCAUUCAAAAAAAAAUAAAAAAUUGCAGCCUGCAGUAGCUAAACAAGACAGAAGGAAACGUGAGAAAAGAGAAUAAGCUGCAGUCAUCGACAACCCAACUCAGCUCUUCCAUCAGCACUGACGCUUGUAUUUGUACAUAGCUUCUGAAGAUCAAUGUAACCUAUGAUGGUAUCUUCAAAAACUGCAUCUUCAAGCUGAGCAUUAUUAAAAGUAGAACCAGAUAACACAGUGUUCUUAAAAACAGCUCCUCGGAGAUCAGCUUUGUCAAAAUUAACUCGAUCCAAAACAGCAUUCGAGAAGUUUGCACCUGCAAAUAAUUUGGUUAUUGUUCUUCUAUAUAAACCCAUGCCAUGAUCUUCAACAUUUAUGCUGUCUACGACUGCAAAUGAAAAUUUUUUCACAUAUUGCAAAGUCCUCAUCUUUUAUCAAUGAGUCUUAUGUAGAAAAGCACUAUUUAGUUCUUUAAAAAAAGUGCAGUUGUUUUGAUAGAUUUCUCAUUUACAAGUAAUUUUGAAGAACUCAAGGAAGCUAUUGAGGCAAGGAUUUUGAGACAUGCAUAUGUAUGAGUGAAAAGCAACAAAAUGAGUUUAAAAACUUCACUCUUCAUUGUUCUCGUUCUUCCAGUAGUCCAGUAUAUACAGAAUUAUGGACGGUGGCAUUCUAAUUUCAAAAUAACUAUACAUAAUUCAGAUGUUUUCUCACAUUUAAAUGUUAUUUAAUCAAUGUCUUCUUCCUUAUCAUGACCACAUCUUGGAGAUAUGUUGUAGUCAUAGCAAUCAAAAUAGAUGCAUUUUAUUUUUGCAUUUUUCUUGUCAAAUAGUGGCUCUCAACACAUAGUAGUUUUCUCAAGGACUUCAAUUCUUUUGUGGUGCAAUCGCAGGAUGUGCUCAAAAUGAUGAUAGAAAGCAUUAAACAAUCAUUCAUUACUUAAGGACUACAAUCAAAUGCAGUUAACCAAAUAAUUGUGCCAAAGUUGGUCAAACGGAUAAUUUGCACGAGUAGUCUUCUAAGAAAGAAUUAGCAUUGGUCGAACAUUUUGAACUUUAGUGAGGUGGGUGGUUUCAGAGAAGGCAACAGAAAGAAAAUACAGAAGAUUACCCUUGAAGCUAGCUCCAACAGCAUAAGCCUUUGACAUCACAGCUUCUGACAUGUCUGCACCAUCGAACUUAGCAUCUGACAUGAGUGCUGCUGCAAGAGACUUUCCCUUCAGGUUGGAUUUUUCAUUAGUGUAAUCACAGAAGCGCAGAUCAAGGGGCUUAUCAUAUACACCAUUUGCCUGACCUAUCGUAUUACCAACAAAUGCACGCUCACAUCGGUUGGGCUCUGUUGACAGUGGAGGCAACCUCUGCAUAGCAAACAUAUUACAGUUUUGUAGCCUAUAGUUAUCUUGAAAUUAGUAAUUAUUAUGAUCAACGACAUUGUUGUUUGGAAUCACCGGAGGAUAUGGGAACAGUUAUUCCCCACAGGCACUCUUACCAAGUAAAUCAGUUUGUUUAUACAGGAUAAAGGACUUCUGGCAACUUAGAUGACAGUUGAUAGUAAUAAUUAAUUAGGCAAGUUUUCCUAUAAAAUUCAUUUUUUCUUAGUUCUGGCCAAGAUAGGAAAGUUAUGCAUGCAUCAAGUAGAUCAGCUGAUCAACAAACGGUUGACUAGAGUGAGAGCUUUGCUCUGGCAUGAAAACAUAAACACAAGAAAUAAACAGGCAAGGUAACUUGAAGUUUCAAAUAACAAUUAAUUGCAAGAAGGCUUAUUGCCAUGCAUUAAAAUUUAAAAAGCCUACUACAACCACUUAAAGUGAAACUAAUGGAAGCAAUCAAGAGUCCGUAAUUUAUGAUGAAUUGCUAAGGUUUAAAAGGAACUGUGUCCAACAAUUUAGUGUGUCCCAUGCAAUUCUUAAACUACGAGCUGUAAACCUAAGCCAAACAAGUCAUAGGCAAAUAUGCUUAAACAGACCCAGAAAAAUAGUGCAGGUAUUCAACCUGAUUUGCUGCAAUUACAGGUGAGGCAGUAGCAACAGCGCAUACGGCUAGAAGGCCACAAGCUACACUCCUCAGUUCUUUAAACGGUGAUGAGCUUUUCUCGGUCUUGAAAACACAUUUACUAGCUGCUUCCAUGAUAGAAAACGUUAAAAUAAAAAUCUUCAGGAACUGAAAAAAGUAUAUUAGCCAACAAGGCUGCCCAUUAAGUUUCAGACAAUAACUCAAAUCACAAACUUGACUGUCACCACAGACAUCACCAACAAUUGAGAUUAUCCCCACAACAGGAAUUCCCUUUUUAUUUUCUUUUUUUACGACCGUUACUUCCCUAGCUUGAUCCAUUAUUCCCACAGUGAAAAAGAGGAAAACAAUGAAGAAAAAAACUAGUACAGAAUUCGGAAGGUUUUAAGAAAAAACAAGGCAUACCAGAAGAACAGUUGAUUCUGAUAGGUAGAGGGAGUUGAUGAAGAGGACAAUGGAGGCGUUUCGUCGAUAAUUGUCGCAAGGAUAAAGCGUUCUGGGAGAGUGGAGUUGAAAGGGUCGCCAUUUCUGUGUUGUAUGCUUUCUCUUUCUCUCUGAUCUCCCUAUCACUUCAAGUCCAUUGCGAGUUUAUCCAUUGAUGAUGGUUGUAGCCGCAGCAGGCACAUACAUCUAUCUGACCUGGCAUGACACGUAAGAUUAUGUCCUUGGCAGAUAUUCAGUCAAAUUAACUGUUAGGCUACCUAUAAUCAAUGGACCAAGCAGGCCUGCCCAAGCCCACAAGCCUGACACAUAUUGGACAGAGCUUGGGUUAUUGUUUUCAAACCUAUAGAAGCCCGACCAAAAUUAGUUAGGGAUUAGGGCGUUGUUUACCCAAAAACAAAAGAGUCAGAAACCUUAAAUAAAAAGUAAGAGGCAAAAAUAUGAAAAGCAGAUAAAGCGUACGAGAUAAAUUCGUCUGGUUUAUCUUUGACCAUCCGCUUCCUCUUCAAGCUUAACUUAGGGCUUUUGAAUUUCAAGGCCAAGAAAGAUAAUAAUAAAGAAAAAGCAAACAUACACUCAACGCCGAAAUCAAUCGGAUAAUACUUCUGCAAGGAAACCAAAAAAAAAAAAAAGAAUGGAAAAUCAGGGCAGCUGUUUGUCUUACAUGGCGGCGUGGUUGGGAACGAGUGUGGCCCAAGCCUUCUUCGCGUCGCUGGAACGUUGUUCUUGCAUAAACCUCUCUACCUCCGAUGAUGCCGAUGAUUCCGAGGCCCACGAUCGCCCUCUCAUGUUCACCAAUUGCUCCUCCAUCUGCUCAUCUGUUACCUCUAGGACCGACAACCUUCCUCCCAACGACGUCGUUAAUCUCCCCGUCUAAAUCUUGCAAGCCCUUUCUAUUUGGGAAUUGUAUGUAGGAUUUCGUUUCGUUUCUCUUUUUCUGUGAAUCUUGAUAUGAGGGUCGGCUUUUUUUUUUUUAUUAUUAUUCUUUUGUGGUGUUUCUCUUUGUUCAAAUGUUUCCUUGUCUUUGGGUGUUUGUGAAAUUUCCAAAGCGAUCUCGUUUAUUGACUGAAGAUCUUCCUUUAAUUUCUUCGAAAUCAUUCGUCGGCGGAUGAAUUUGAAUCUCUGAAAUUUUAUGUUGUUCUCU
rnacentral:lncRNA from 1 species